rnacentral:lncRNA from 1 species
UGAUUAUUGCACCAGACGGUUGCAGUUCUCCAUCUCUAACUUGAUGUGGAUUAUUAGCAUGCCCUAGACACGUCACGAAGAGAUCAAACUUGAACCGAAAUUCAAAUACUAGAAGACAAGUCCCCACCUAAAAAAGGAAAAAUGGGGAUCCAAAUCACAGUGGAACUCAUGAAAUUGUAUAUACUUAAAAAAAAGUUUCAAAUGUAUAAAGUUAUGAAGCACCACUGCUGGUAGCGACUGACUCCUGAAUUACAGCUCAACAGACAAGUGAAACUGGAAAUUCAUCAGUGUUUUUCCACGGGUUCUCGUUGAGCCCCAUCAACGCUUUUCUCAAUUGGAGGCAAAGUCUGCAAGCUCACCAGCAAACUACAUUACAAUUUUAGGCUAACUUCACAAAAGAGGUCCCAGUUAAAAAUACUAGUAAAACUCAAGAGGAAAGUUUUGCACGGUUCGUAUGGGCAUUUUAUCGAACAGUUGUACGAGCUGUGUGAGUAUUUAGAGGGAGAGAGAAGGGGGGGGGGUUGUUACCAGAUCAGGCUUAUAGAUGUUGUGGACGACCGAGGCACCGGCGAGGAGCGAAACGAUCACGACAGCGCACGACCAAGCUAACGACGGCGUUCCAGUUGGCGGUUUCCCCCCUCCAAAUUUCUGAUUCAUUUUCCACUUCCCAAGUUCGCAAACCCUUUGUACAAGACGACCCUCCAGCCGGCAAUCGCCAGAAAGAGCGUUAUACUCUUGAUAAUUAUGAGGCCCAGUAUGAUAAGAGAUGCCUUUCCAGGAGCCCAAUGGCCAGAUCAAUGUCAAUCUCCUCUAUCUGUCAUGAUCAAUCUGGGCUUGACCUCCCGGAAGCUCUUCGCGGCCCAAAAUAAACAGCACAGAAGAAAAUGUCAAAGUUUUGCUUCAUUUCGCGAGGAAUAAUUUUUGUUUUCUGUAAACAAACCGAAGUAAAAAUUAAAAAAAAAAAAUUCACAAUAACCCGUGGAGCUAGUUCGCAAAAGUUUUUCAAAUGUAUAAGCAUUUAUCUUUUCGAAUAAUGUUCUUAAGAUAGUUUUCUUCAUAAUAUUAGAUAACUUUAUUGCACAAAAAGAAAAAUAAAAAAAAGAACUCUCUGAAUUUAGAUGUUAAUUUGAAUUUAAAAUUCAACUUUUACACAUAUAUUAUGAAUUUAAUAGGGAUGAUUGUCUCAAAAUAAAUUGAAAAAAAAAAAAAGCCAAAACAUGCCAACUUCUUUCAGAAGUAAAACACUUGUUUGAAAUUUCAGUAUGACAACAAGGGAAAAUGUAUAGCAUAUAAAAAACUUUUCUUUUCAGCGACAAAUAUUCAGUAAAGUUUUAUCAUAGCAUAACAGACAGUUUAAACAAGCGAUGGUAAAGACAAGUUCUAAAAUUUCACAUCAUCCCAUAAUACACCUAUCUGUAUAGCGUAUACGACUCUGAAACUCAUGCUAGAACAGCCAAAACUCGAAAGCUUACUAAGAGGAACUCUUUUUUAAAAAAAAAAAAAUUUUAUUACUUACACAUUACAUUAUGCACAUUUAGCACGUUGCAACACCAAAGGCUGAAAGGCAGUAUUAAAGAUGAAGAAAAUUUUCAUCUUUUUUAGGAAAAAAAGUAAUUGAGAAUCAAAAUGCAUCAAUAUCAUGAAUUCUAUGUCAUAUCACCUAUAAAGAAGGGUCCCUUUUUUAUGCUUCACAACCCAAAAACGGGAAAAAAGAGAGAGAAAGAGAUAUAUACCGUCAACUAAUAUUGCUUUUGUUAGAGCUAAUGAUUUUUUAAAAAAUUGUAAGCCAGCCAAAAAUCAAUUUGGGGGGCCAAUUUAUGACCAAGAAAAAGAAAAAGUAAAAACAGAUGAGGAAAAUUUAUGAUAUUUAUGUUUAGAAAAAUUAAAUUCAACAUCAUAAAAGGGCAGGUGGCGCAAAAAAAAUUGUGAUUAGUAGGAAGAUCUGAGCUUUACAAGUCUUGGUCUCAGAUAGAAACCCGAAACCUCUCAGUCAUUAUUCAAUCAGGAGUUUUACAAGAGCAAAAAGAACAAGUAAAACAGAAAUCCGGAAUUUCAGAAACCAAUUGAAUGAGAAUAACAAUUAAAUUGACCUGUUAAAACGACGAUUCUUGAAAGAUGAUUGAACGAAAACCAGAGCAAGGAAUCUGCCUGCUUCUGCUGUGAUAAACCAAGCCCUAAACUUUAUAGUGUGAGUGCUGACUGCUGAUGGAGCAUGUUAUGACUUAUAAGUCAGGCCGCUUCGGUCCAGUGAGCAACACUCGGGUUUAGAAGUCUAAUAAUGUUUGAACCGGAUAUUGAAGGCAGCCGUGGUUUUAAGAAACUCUAACUCUCCUCCAAAUGUCCCGUCCCAAUAAGAAACUCAGAUUCCCCUCUAAAUUGAUCUUUAAUUAGACCUCUAAACUUCAAUCUCAAUUCUGGGGUUUCUCUCGGAGCUCAUUACUGCACUGCAGAUUGCGGACUAAAACCAAAAAGAAGAGGGAGGUGGGAGCCAGAAGUAGCAACAUUUCGCUGCUGCCAAUCACUGAGAGGUCGCUUGGUAAUGUUUAUGUUUCCUUUUUUAUGUUUAUGUUCAUAAAAUUCUACAAAUAAAAACAGUAAACAGUUUUUGUUAAAAGUGAUUGUGUUUUAGUACUAGGUGUGACAAAGGUUUCUCUAAUAGAAAAUUAGAUUGAUGUUCACUGUAACAAUUGUGAGAAAUUUAGCUUUGAAAUACUUUAGCUAGUAAAUUUGCUGGGCAUCAAAUUUUUUGGUCUAGUUUUUACAAUGAACUUGUAUUUCAGUUAUUUCUCCUGUCAGGUGUUAAACUUUUAAACGCUCAUUUGCUUCUCAUACAAAGCUCCAAGGCUCAUCAAAUGACUAGUAUGUAAAUGAAUAUCUAAGUUUGAAGGUAAUCACUUUAAGCAUUCCUAAAACCCAUGUGGAAGAAUGUUCUUGCUGAUUAAGUUUUUACAGCAACUUGAGAUCCUGAAAUUGCACUCUCUUCAACUCCCAGGCAACAUCCUUUUUUCACAUUUUUUGCCCUCUUUUCUAGCUGUCUUUGUUAUCUGACCAGGAUAAGAUACCAAACCCAAAUCCAAUGGCCAUGUCAACUUUCUUUCUUUUUUGUUAGUAAAGGCCAGUCAUCAUAGCAAGCAAACAAUAUACAAGUUCAACGCAGUUGAUGAACUCUUCUGUAAAUUAAAUUAUUUCCUCAUACAAACAUAGAAUGGAAAGCAAAAACGAAGUAAACUUAUUAGUUAAAUAUCAAGAAACUGGAUGUAAUGCUUAAUUAACAGCAGUCUGCCAAAAUUCAACCGUUCAAAAAAGUUUAACUGCAUAAAAUGGAAAUUAAAGCAUAAUGAUCUUACUCGAAAUGAGUAAGUUUUUUAUUUAACUGCCUAUUGUAAAAUCCCUGUCCCCUCCCAUCUAGUACCAUUACAGUGAUAGUGUUGCUGCACUUCUCCUACUUUAUUAAAUUUACAUAAAACAGUCUAUAGAAAACUUAUUUGAUCAUUUAAGCAUAAAGCCAUUAGGACUUAGUAGUGCAUUAACUAUUACAAAAACAUAAUCUUCAACUAAGUUGCUUUAACCAACUACCAACAAAGUCAGCUCCAUCUUUGUCAGAUUAUUUUUUAAUUGGAAAAAAAUGCAAAAGUCUAAGACUUGUAAACAUUUUAAGUAAUCAAUGAGACUUUUCAGGUAGCCACAAUGCUAUCUAAAUUUUCAAAAGAAAGAAAACCUGUAAAGUAUUUUAUCAUCAAUGGUCUGAACCACCAAUUUUAACAUCUAUGACAGUUCAUCAUUAACAAUAUAUUAAUAGUUUCAAUCUUUCAAAUUUCUAACUAUUCCAUGGGAGAAAUGGGAAAACAACUUAUUCACAAGUUUCAGGCUAAAAAUCUAACACUAAUGAAAAGCAUACUUGGCAAGAUUACUACAUGGAAAUUUAGCUAGAAUUGUAACAAUCUCAAAAUCUUGAGUAUCACCUACCUCAGCUAUUGAAAAACUUGUAUAGUGGUUUCUUUGCUACACGUGUUGUAACAUGGGACAAUAAUCAAGCACUACCCUUCAGCAAGCCCUACCGCCAUUGCUGAAAUCUGAGUUACAGCAGGUCCCUGCAUGACAAACAUACAAAGAGUUUAAAACAAACCUCCUGUGAACAAGAUACACAAGAUUUCAUAGUUCUUAAAUAAUUUUGAGUAAGUUCUUUGUCUUUCUUUUGUAUAGUGGUUUAUUUGCUACACGUGUUGUAACAUGGCAUAACAAUCAAGCACUACCCUUCAGCAAGCCCUACCACUGUUGCUAAAAUCUGGGUUAAAGUAGGCCCCUGCAUGAUAAACAUACAAAGAGUUCAAAACAAACCUCUUGCGAACAAGAUAAACAAGAUUUCAUAGUUCUUAAAUAAUUUUGAGUAAGUUCUUUGUCUAUCUUUUGUGUUAGGUCCCUGCAUGAUAAACAUACAAAGAGUUCAAAACAAACCUCUUGCAAACAAGAUAAACAAGAUUUCAUAGUUCUUAAAUAAUUUUGAGUAAGUUCUUUGUCUUUCUUUUGUGUUGAGUCUGUUGACACAGGACCAAUUUGUUUCACCUGCAAAUCAGACCCAGCCACUUCCUGUGCACCACUUCACAUCAUACAGGCAGUUUCGUAUGUGCUAAACCACAUAAGCACGUACAAAUAACAACAAACUGUCAUGAAUUUAUGAACCCCGAAGUUUGCCUCCAAUCUUUGAAGCAUGUCAUGAGUUAUAUCAAGCACACCUUUUGUCUGAACCAACGACUUUCUUAGAUAAAAGAACAGCUUAAAGCAUUAACCUAAAAUCAAAUAUUAACAACAAAUAUGUUUAAAAGCUCCUCUCCAUGUAUUUCUACAGUUUUAUUGAGUUGUGAACCUUUCGUCAUGUAUACGAUAAACUAACUUCCAAAGUAACCCCACCUUCAAUUUCAUUAAUUUUUCCUUCUCUCAAAGUGGUUCCCCUGCUCACGAGAUCAACUAUAGCCUCUGCUACCCCAUGCAAGUUGGAAAGAAAAGCAAGCAAAAGCAACAUGAUGAAACAACAGGAGCUGAAAUGUAAAGAGCCGUUAUAGUAUCAUAAUCUUCUAAUCAAGAUACAAAAUCACAUUGUUUGGAGCUAAAAAAUUGCAACCAUGAAGCAGAGGAGUAAAGAUUUUAUCAGGCAUAACAAAUAAAAAUUUCUUCAAAUCGUGAAAACUAGAAGAAUAGAUUGGAUAAGAAUCCAAAGUAGAGCACAUAUCCUAACUAAAUCUACCAAGAAUUAGAAUAACUUUGGAAAAGUGAAAAUUUACGACACAAAGAACCGAACUUUACCUGGCAACAACUUCUUUGACGAUAUAAGGACUUCAAAUGCUCCCUACAAUAGAUUGCAAAAACAACUUUGAUCAAAGAAAAUAUAAGCAAUGACAAUUAAUCAUUUACAAGAAAGUGAAAAUAGAAACAAGUAAAAGAAAAGCACCAAAAGAAAGAACACAUGUCUACAAUAAGUAACGGGAAAAAAACUCUCCAGAGCACAAUAAUAAGUGUUGAUACUAACAAAAUUAAAUAUUCGGCUAUUCAUGUUGACAACACAAAUACAAAGAUUAAAAAAAAAAAGGGAAAAAGAAGCCUUACCUGAAGAAAUUACAGAGAACCAAAGUGGAAGAAAAAAUCUGGAGAGAAUCAGCGGCAAACACAUAGUAAGAAAAUCAGAUAAGUUAACUAAAAGCAUACUAAAAGCAUCAGAGUUAAUGAUCAAAACUUUUACACAUUAAAGAUGAACAAAAAAAAAAAAGGAAAAAAAUGAGAAGAAGAGAGGUUAAGGAAGAUGUUUUGGUUUGAGAGGAUUUCAAUGAGAGAGAAAGUACCAAGAAUAAUUGCAAUGACUUUGAUAUUUUCGAUUCUUUGAAGCGACGAUGAACGGAAAGUGAAAUUCGACAAGAGCGCCGGAAACCUGUGGAGUGUGGACUCUACUACUAGUACUGAGGGGGGCGCUCGGAGACGUCAAGGAAGUGGAAAGAGGCGCGUGAAAACUGAACAGUCACUAGUGCUGAAAACCUAAUCCCAUAAUGCAAGGAUUUGAAGGGCAGUGUUGUAAAAACGUCAAAGAAGUGGAAAGAUGCGCGUGAACAUUGAGUUAAAUGAGGUUCGCACUUGGAUUCUUCCAGACGGCUCUGGCUUUCUUUAUCUAUCCUUCCUUCUCUCUUCAUUUCCUAUGUAACCACUCACCAUCUCUGGCCUCACCCUUGAAUGAUUUGUUCUUGUGUACGAUACUAUUCUCUUCCUUUUUUGGCCUCACCCCUGAACGUUGCUUUAUCAACUCAGCAUUUGUUUAUCAAUUCAAGUAGUAGUAGUGAGCUGAAGAAUCAUAUUGUUGACUGAUGUACUCUCAAUUUAUUAUCAGUUGCCUAUAUUUUGCACAGAAUAACAUCGAAAUUGUUGACGAAGUAGUGCCAAACGGAAUCAGUUCAACAGGAUUGAGGAAUCAGUACAGCUUAUUAUGAUAUCAAAGAAAAGAGAUAACUUGUUGACUCUCUUUCAGGGAUUGCAUUUCGAGGGGCUUGUCUGUGAAAUAUUUAACUGCUGAUGACCUGUAUGUACAUCAUGCAGAAUGCAGAAGUCUGAUGAUUGAUGCCUCUACUCUUCAAGUACUCUCCUAUUUGAAGGCCCGCUGUACAGUACGAAUGGAAGUUUAUUUGCUAGAAAAGGCAUAUGGCUGAUGUUCCAUGGCAAUUAGUUUGACUCGGGGGAAUUUUCUUAGGCGACUAGCCUUUGGCGGACUGCGGAAGUUACCUUCUGCCUUUAAGCAGGGUGGAGAGACUGUCUCGUGUAAUUCAAUUUUUGCCACAGAAGGUUGGUAUAUAUAAUAGUCUCCAUAGGGUGUCAAAUGUCUCUUCAUUUUUCCUUUUACAUAUGGCUGAGAAUUUUAGAAAGAGCUCAAAAGUGAUCUCUCUCUUAUUAGCAAUAUCGAAACUGUAGUCGUAGCUUAAAUGAACUUCAGCAAGUUCACAAAAUCGUUCGUAGACUGCCAUUUCCUGAAGAAAAAAUAUACACCAUGUUGUACUUUAAGACCUCCAUCCCCAUUUGCAAUUCCUCUCAGCUCUCGAGUAUUGUCGCCUGCAUUUGAUAAAAUCUGCAGUUUUUCAUAAUUUUCUUCAAUUUCACUGAAUAAUCCUCUUGUUAAGAUGAAAAUCUUUUCUGCUCCUGUGGGAUGUUAUCCAUUGAUUGCCACGAGAGCUGAGUGUGAUGCUAACCUAGUAGGACUUUACCCCCAUGAAGCAGCUGUUCCACCUAACUUGCAGAAGGUAGCAACAGGUGAAUCCUGGAUCAACAACUAACUGCAAUCUCUGAGUUUGAUUGCUGGUCCUCGGCACCAGUAAGCAGAGGGCUCUUUUGGAACUGAUUUCUCAGCUGUCCACAUGCAGCACUAGCAUCAAGACCUCGAGUCUGCCGGACACUGACGGUUAUUUUACGGGACUCCAGAGCGGCUGCAAAUGCAAGAGUCUGCAUAACCAAAUUUAUUAUACCUAUCAGUUGACCCCGCUCUUGCUAGAAAAAAAUAGUUUAGAACUAAAUUGGGAAAGCUAAAGGGUCCAAAAUGAACAUCCAAAGAAGAAGGGAGAUAAAACGCGUACUGAUUUUUUAUAUGGACGCUGGUAAUCAGAUCCUUCAACUGGAUUAAACGGUAUCAGGUUGACAUGGUAACUACGACCCCAUUCAUGAAGCAGUUCUGCUAACUCUAACGCAUGCUCAAUGGUGUCAUUGACUCCAGCUUCACAAGAACAAAUAAAAGCCAAAACUAUUGUUACUUCCUCUCUGCAUGCCUAUCAAACAAUUGAAGUCAUGAAAACCUUUUACUCGCAGAAGUCUGGAAUACCUAAAAGUGUGUAUUCGAAAGACACCCGUCGACUGGUUUCAAGGAAAUAGUCCCUGCAAUCCUUCAUGAUUGCUUCCAAAGGAUAGGACUUUGCACUUGGUACUAUACUUUCGCGGAGUUUCUGGUUUGGAGCAUGUAAGCUGGACAAAAUGUGAAGGAAAUGACACAUCACGAAUCAGAGUUGAAGUAAGCUUAGCUAAGGAAAAGAUGUUCUAGGCUUUCACAGCUUAACAACUAGUUUUUAAGGAUGGUCAGCAAUGAUAUCUGGAAAAAUCAUCGGCAAAUUAUGAUAUUAACUGAGUUUUAUGGUAACUACGAGAACCUCCACUAAGUUCUUAAAUCACACUAACCACCCUGAUAAUUCCCGACAUUCAUCAGACAAAGAUUGAAGAGGAAGUUAGUGAAAUAUUAGACCCGUGCCCGCGAUAAUGAUGGAAACCAGGGGAGAUUAAGGUAAAUUAGCAAAAGUUCAGACCAUUUGAGUUCGUGCCUAAGCUUGGCAAUCACCAGAAUUAUUAACUCCACCAGGAAUAAUGCCCAUAAUUCCUGUACCUAUGAAUUCAAACAAACUGGUGCAAUCUGAUGUUGUCAGGUUUCUACUGUAGCUCAAGGAAGCAAAAUAUACUUCCUUAUACCUAAGCAUGAUGACCAGUGAAUUGAACAGCAUAAAGAGCAACAUCUUCUAACUUCGUUGGACUUAUCUAGAAGUUAUGUCAAACUGCUUUUAAGAGAAGCAGAAAGAAAGGGCUUCCACCCUUUUUUUUCCCCUUUCCUUGUAACAGAAUAGAACAGCCAUCAGGGACGUGUUGAACAGUGAUAUAACAGUUCAAUGCCUGAAGGUCUAUUGUGCAAACACACAAGGAAACAUUUCUAUCCCUUUUCAGUCCAGAAAGCAGAAUAUGCAAUGACAUUACCUAAUAGCCAACGUCGAUUGAAGCUUGUGAGAAGCCAGCUUUUUUAUUGUAUUUGGAACUCCAACAGUUGAUAUUGUGAUCAUCCUCUGCCCAAUUUGGAUAUCCUGAACAAAGGAUGGCAUGUGAACAAUCUUUACAUCCACAUAAAAAAAAACUAGCUACACAGUUUAAUACACCACCUAUGUUAGAUUUUGGAGCAAUUUGAAUUUUCAGAGUGGAGAGGCAUAGAGGACCUUAUUCAGGCAACGGUGUGCUUCAAGAACUUCUUUAAGGUUCAACAUCGGCUCACCCAUUCCCAUAAACACGACAUUUGUAACCCUGUGCUUGAAAACAUCUUCUAUUGCCAACACCUGCACAUUUAUGAUCAUGGGACUACUUAAAUGCAGCACGUACAGAGUGCUUCCAGAGACCAUAACAGGAUCCACAACUAAAUAAAAUGACAAAAGUUUAGCAUCAGUAGUUCAGAAGUGUAUAAACUUAUGUUCACAAACAAACAGCAGGCAUGUAAACAAAGGAAACUCACUGGACUUUUUGGGGAAAGAAGGGUACAACGAGAAUCCUAAGGACGAUUAACUAAGGGAAUAAGGGACGCAGCAGUGGAUAAAUAGCCUAGGUUGAUUUAAUAAGAAAAAGAUGCCAUGAGUCCUGAGGAUGGAGGUAACGAGGCAGGGAAAUUUUUCUCACAGCACCUCCAAGUGAAAGAGAGCCCAUCUGUCACCUGAUGUAAAUUUCAAAAAUAGCAUCAAACAGAUGUAAGACAUACCUGCUCUACAAUUUCAUGCCUCUUAAGGUUUCUUGCAAAUCCCCCCUUGCCAGUGGCACAAAAGGAACAGCGCAAUGGACAGCCUACCUAAUUGACACAGGGAGAAGAUUAACAAUGGAAUCAACAGGGACUAUGUACUCAAUGUUAAAAUAGAUAUCCCAAAAAUGGAUAUAUAAACCACCACAUUUAAACGUUUUUGCAGUAGAAAAUAACCUGGGAUGAGACACAUGCAGUCAACCUGACUGAACCUUUAUCAUCUUCCACUGGUAUCCCAACAGUUUCAACCAAUCGGUUGUCCUCCAAUUUUAUCAGUAACUGGGAAGAUGAAAUAAUAAAAAGUCACAAGAUAUAAUGAGACAGUAGACAUAUAAAGUCACAAGAUAUCACAAGACAUAAUCAAAAAGUAGGCAUAUAAAGACAGCCAAAUCUAUCACUUUGGAAAGAAUUGAGAUGGACUAAAUCUGGAUAUGCGCAUGUUCUUGCUUCAUGUUUAUACAUAUAAUGAGCAACAGAGAGUCAUGGCGAAGGCAACUUAUGCAUGACAUUAUUAUGCACUCCUGUAGUCUUAGGACAUGACAUUUUUAUGCAUGAGACAACCAUGAUGUUUAUCACCAAACUUAGCACUAUGAAUACUGGAAACCCAAGUUCUAUGCAAAGCAAGUUCCUGAAUCAUGUAAUCUUAGUGCCAAUUCUAGCGAGUCUAAAAACAAUUAAAAAUAUUCCUUGAUUGCUUCUUUUGCCAACGGGAUUCACAAAUGCCGAGAGCCUGAGACCCAGAGAUCUCUAGGUCAUCUGAGAGAAGGCACAAGCUCUGAGACAUAAUUAAACUUUUGAUGGCAAUUUCAGUGAACCUUACUCGUUUUCUCCAUAUUGAUACUACCCUACAGCGAUCCCAAUUACAAACUGUGAUUCAAAUUUCACCCGACGCAAACUUACAAACCAAAAUAGAAUCUAGACAAUAAGUGCUCCCACAUCCCAAAAAAGCUUCCUGCCAAAUUUCCUUGAGAAAAGAAAUAACUUGCCUCACUUUACGGCUCCAGACUUUCUAUUGUAAAAGGAAAUCAUUCAAAUCAUUCUUCAAUUUUAAUUCGCCAACUCUCCAAAGCUUCAGGUUUCAGGUGAAUUAACUAGUUCUUGUAGAAGUCUAGUGUCCUCAAUGAAUACAUGUUUGUUACCAAAUAAGAAAUAAUCUUCUCUUUGGUUUCCUCCUCUUUAUCUAACACAAUCCUCCAUGGAUGCUCAAUGCUGACAUACAUAUACAUAUAUACAUAUAUCUAUAUAUAUACGUAUAUGUAUAUGUAUAUGUCCAUUCAAACUAGAAUCUUGUUUAGAUAUAUAUUAUUAGCUCAACCACCACCAAGAGCCGAGCCAGUUUUGUCAAGAAACUACCUUAAUGGUGCCAUCAGAUGCCGUAACAUUCUUAUAUACUGGUGACCUCCCAACUCUCCAUCCUGCUUCCUGCAACUCAUUCCUGAAUGCCAAUGGCACUUUUCAUCCAAAAAAUUACCCCAAAAAAAUUACCAAUUAAAGUUGAAUAAAAUUAGGCAAGAUUUGGAAAAAAAAAUUACUCACCUUGACUAAAGUCUUGAAUUUCUUUAACUUUUCUUUUAUACAGUAAAUGGUGCAAUUGUUUACCUCUGUAGCGUUCCUAAAAUGACAAGUACUUGCUAGUUACAACAAGAAUUUCAUAUUUCCAGAAAAGCAACUGAAGAUGGAAAAUUGAUUGGUCCAUUUAUGCUUUUAGGCUAAACCCACUAAAACUAUACCUGACCGAAAUCGACGGCAAGUUGUUGAAGCUCUUGCUCAGACAUGCCGAGGAGAACCUGCGACUGCAAGUCCACUUUUGAUGAUGCCUCGGCCUUCUUCUUGAGAGAAGGUAAAGUUACGGUGCUACAGGCGACAGUCAGGGUACGGAACCUUACGGCGCGUGCAAAGGGUGCUGUGACCACGUGCUGAAAUAUCGCCAUUGACAUGCUUCGAGAGACUGGAUGAAUGGAUCGAGAGACUCUGCGAGGGAGGAACACCAGGGCCGAGAUGACACACUAUAAACCCAGGCUAUGCCUUAAGCCUCACAUUCUGGAUUUAUUAAAGACCAAAAAGAAAUAAAGACUCAUCGGUUUUUUUAAAAAGACAAAAAUAGCCCUGUUUGACUAUCCGUUGAAUUUUGAAGACUUUUAUUUUGAAUUUUUUUUUAGGUUAUUUCUCUAUUUCCUUUUUAUUUAUUUAUUUUUCCCUUCUGGCAUCUCCCCAUUUAUAUUUAAAGAAUAACAUGGAGUUUAACAGUACGGAAGAUUUAUACUCAAAAUGUUCCCCCUCGCAAAAUAAUAAGUUUUGUGGCUUCGUGUAGGCUAUAUGAAAGGUAGUACAGUAGCAGCUGCCAGGAUUCUUCUUCCGUUGCUUGGCUUUCUAGUAUUUACCCUCAAAAGUUCUGCACCAAGAAUCCUACAAAUACAUCCUAAAAGCUCAGGCAGAUUAAAAUAAAAAUCCUGAACGUCAGGAAGAUGAAUCUUUUAAUGAUGUCCAUGGCUGUACACCCAACUUCUUAUGCUAAUCUACCACAAAAAUGAAAAAUUUGCAUGAGAUAAAAGUAGUAUGCAUCGUACAACAUAUGGGAUAACAAGGCUAUAAAUAUGAUAUAAACAUGGGAAUCAUUUCCCAUUGGCUCAUGCCUAGAUACAACAAAAUCUAUUUAGCAUCCUGCCGAGAUAAGAUUGAUGCAGAGUCACAGGACAGAUUGAGAUGGGAACCGUACAAUGCAAGAGGAUGGGAUGGGACAGCACAAGGCCGAUUCCAUGGAGGCCUGGCUUCCUUGCAUCGUCUGCUCUUCGUAUCUCUCGCUUAGAGUAGUUGGUAAAAAUUGAAAAUUUUACAAACAAAAUCCACAUUCAAGCAACCAUGGGGGAAGGGGAUCGUCUUGGACAUGAUGCAGCCUUUCUGUUAGAUGCGUCGUUUGAACAUGUUUUAUGAUGCUUGCGAACCACCUCAUGUUUAACACUGCCACUGUCCGAGUCCUGAAGCUGCUCUAAUGCUUUUACCACCUCAUCCAUGUUUGGCCUGUACUUGGGUUCCGUUGCAAGGCAUUUAACUGCAAGGUUUGCAGCUUUUAUAGCUCCACCUAACGAAUAUUGCCCUUCUAUUCUGGCAUCUAUAACUUGGAAAAUUCUGCGUUUGCUGGCCAGGUAAGGCUUGGCCCAUUCGAUAAGAUUGUGCUCUCCAGGAGGCCGGUUCUUAUCUAUCACUCUACGGCCCGUCAGCAUUUCGAGGAGAACAACCCCAAAACUAUACACGUCACUCUUGGCAGUCAGAUGGCCUUCAGAAACAGACAAAUGCAGGCUUAGCACAAAGAUAGAAGAAUGAUUUACAGCUUAUAAAAGCUGCAUGUCGAUUUAGCAAGGAUUUGAUGUGUGUACAUUUGACAGUCUGAAAAACGUUGACAAUCGACGUUCCUAACUAGGCGCAAUGGCACGAGUAAAUAGAAAACUGAGAGAGAACUGGAAGAAGGGAGAUGAUAAUGUUGCAGUAGCAGGAGAAGAAUGAAGCUUGGGACUUUUCAGCAAGACUAGGAUACAAAAAGGACUUAUUAUUUAAAGGAAAUAUUAGGCGAUUCCACACACAGACCAGAGCUUUUCACAAGACUUGAUGCUUUGAUUCACAAACAUCCUGCACUCAUCUCAAAAUGGUGAAUCCAUCACAAAUAUGUGAUAACGAAGCCUGAACAAAUCCCAAGACAAUAAGAAAUGCUAUACAAUUUCAUCACUGGAGAUGUUUCAAGGCAAAGCCACCCAAGGGAAACUACAUUUGGACUUGGAAUAGUAAUAGAGUUGACCUCACCUCCACCAAGGGAUGCAAACUACAGGACAAAAUAAGGGACCAUUUCUUAGUUAAGGGGUUCUAUUCUUAAUAGUAGAAGAGGAGGGGGUGAUGGAACAAGAAGCAUUCCAGUCACUUUAAGUUUAACUUGGCCUGAGUAAGAAAUCGCAACAAUCAGAAACGUGCAACCUUACUAAGCUGAACAGUAUACAACAUCGGACACCAAAGAAACAAUAUAAUAAGAAAAGCAGGCAGCAGAAUCCUGAGAAGCUUCCAAUAUUAUGAGCACUUUAACAAGAUGUAAUACCUGUGACCAUGUACUCUGGAGCAGCAUAACCAUAGGUCCCCAUGACUCGUGUAGACACAUGGCUUUUACCAUCCAUUGGCCCAUCCUUUGCGAGCCCAAAAUCAGAGAGUUUUGCAUUAUAAUUCUGUCAGGAUUCAGUUCAUCAACAAGAUGCAUAAGUGACAGUGAGACACAAGUAAAGCAGAAAUCCAAAGAGUAAGACAUUCAACAAUUGGAAACUUGAGUUACAUACAUACCGAAUCAAGCAAGAUAUUUGAGGACUUAAAAUCACGGUAUAUAACUUUGGCUUCUGGGCUGUGAAGAUAUGCUAGCCCCUUUGCAGCGCCAUAAGCAACCUUCAUUCGGAGGUUCCAAGAUGGUGGUUGGAAGUAAGAGCUCCCUGUUGAAAAUAUACACAAGACAUUAUGUCAUUGUGAUAAUUGGAAGUGCAUUGUGUUGGAAGAUGGUAGACUUGCUACAGAGUUCAAGAACUCACUCCUGAAAAGAUGAUUUUCCAAGCUCCCCCUGGGCAUGAAUUCGUAAACCAAAAGUCUCUGUUCAUCUUCUAAGCAGUAUCCAACCAAUUUCACAAGAUUAGGAUGAUGUAGCUGUCCAAGAUAAUUGAUUUCUGUCUGUGAUUCAGGUGAAGAAACAAAAUUAUCAGCAUAGCUAAGAGAUUUCAGAAUAUGACAAUUACAAGUUUUGACCACGUGUGAUAUAUGUCAGUACUUUUUGCAUUAUUUAAUAACACUGGUAUGAAUUCUGUAAAUAACAGGUGAAGUCAUAUACUCACCAACCAUUCCUUGUGGCCCUGUAGACCUUCUUGGUUCAGUCUCUUCACAGCAAUAACCAAUCCAGUUCCUGGCUUAGCAGCCUUACAGCUAUGCUGAUCAACCCACCCCUUAAAAACACAACCAAAUCCGCCUUCUCCCAACACGCUAUCUGGGCGGAAGUUCCUAGUGGCUGUUUUUAGAUCAUUAAACCCAAAACUCCUCAGAUUUGAUGAUUCCAAAAUUUCACUCUCACUGCGAGGGGUCUGUGGUACUGAGGCAGAUGAGAGCCUGCUGCUUGAGUCUCUUCCAUCACUGCUGACAUAUCUUGAGUUUGCUCCUGCAAACAAAUUAAGUUAAUUUAUUGGGCUUCAACUGAACAUCCUACAACCUAAUUUCCUUUACAUCAAGAGCGUCUAAUCCUCGAAGGAAAAAAAAAGGAUGGAACAGCAUUAAAAAUGCAUGUCUAGGUGAUUUGCUUUUUGUUGAAGCAAAAGGCCUGAUAUUGCUUUGCAUAUGAUUCCUGUUAACAUUCAUAAAACAAUUGAAGAUUUCUAUGUAUGCUCAGAAACAUUAAUUAAGUGCCCUUUAAUUUCAGGUCAUUACUCUUGUAGUCUAGCCACUUCUUUCAUCUGGUUUGGUUUAUUCGUGAUGAGCCAAAGGUGUUGACUGAGCAGCCUUAUAUCAUCUUCAUACUUCAAAGCCAUGAUUCAGACCGGUGAUUUGUAAAGACAACUAUGGAAGGUCCGAGACGAUCCAAUUUGGUCUAUCAGAUUUUGAUUUUAGUAGCAGAACGACCACAAUAUCAUAAGUUGCAAAUGAAUUGUUGAGAUAUCAAACUAGCUAUCACCCAUAUCACCGGUUUCCAUGUAAAGUUUUCCAGACAAAGAGAACAUGACAUUCUAGAACGUUUAUCUCUUUUUCUUUGCAAAGGAACGGAACCAAAGGGGUCUAUCCAAAAAGAGAACUAUUGAUCAAAUACAGUAUAGCAAUCCUACUUGGAGGACCUAUGAAACUAGUAUGCAUAGAUUAUAUUCCAACCUGUGCCAAAGCAAGCAGCAUAUGUUUGCUAAAGAAGGCCAAGCAACAAGGUGGAACAACUAAUUAAAAUUUCCGGAAAACAUUUCCAAAAAUUGAGUCUUGAAAUAACAAAUGAGAACAGUUGCAUGUAUUGAAUUACCAGCAUGCAGAGGACUCUCGGCCUUAAUCCGAGCACUGAAGCAAGAGCCCAUAAAUUAUUAACAACAACCUUUCCAAAACUCUGAUCCUUCUUGCGAACCUUUUCUUCUUCUCCCAGAAAAAUUUGCAGAAAGUUCUGCGCUGAUGAAUCUUCAAAAAUCCCUUUAUGGGCGUGACCGCAGAAAACUGAAAAUGAAAUUCAUCAGACAAAAAGGUGUGAACAUGCUCAAAAGAUUUUUCCUACUAUCAAUGAAGGCAGAUGAAGAAUCCUGUUGAAUAUUUUACAUCUUUGUUCGGUUGGCUUCACGAGAAGCUAUUUCCAGACCUUCCCGAAGGCCAAAAUAGUUGACUUUUCGUACUACAAGUCCUUGGGUUAUCGUCAGCUACUACUCUGCAACUUGUACACGUACACACAUUAAAGAGAAGUGGACUCGACUACUCAACUCUGAUGAAGCGCGGUGGAAGACAGGACCGGCAGCAAAGUUUCACCUUUGGUCCUCUCUCUAUAAAUGUUCUCAAUUUAAUUCCACUCAAGUUUCACCUUUCGCAUUGCUCGGCUACAAAGCAACCACCGAUGCAAACUAAUAGCAUGGGUGCCUAAGCACGUCAAUUACAAAUGUUAAAAUUUCAAUAAGAUUUAACUUUGAAUCAAUUCAUAUCGAAUUAAGUAAAUCAUCAAUUCAUCUAAGGUAACAAAUUCGUUCACGUAUCUCACCCGUAAUAUUUUGUACCCUAUCCCGUUUUAUUUUAUUUAUUUUUAGUAGAAGAUGGAUAAGAAUUAAGGAAAUUUAAAUCCAAAACAUUUAAUUCUUGAAAUCUCAACCCUAAUCACACUUCAACCAUCCUCUUAAAUUUGUUCUAGCCCCUUAGCUCUUAACUAAAUGCUGGUUAAAUACAAUUGAGAUUGUUUCCAAUAACGAGUAAUAGCACCAAAAGGGUUCAAAUCUCUGUUUUCAAACUCGGACCGGACCGGCCGAUCGAACCAAUCGAACCGGGAACCGGCCAGGUAGCCAGUCCGAGUCAACUUAGAAAACCGGAAAUUUUAAAACUCGGUCAAAGCCGGUCAAAAUCCGGGUUUGACCGGGUUUGACCGGGAAAAAACCGGUUUUUCCGGUUCAACAGUGAUUUUUAAAAAAAAAAAUCAAACUUUAUAAUAUUAUGUUUUGGCCCCCUAAAUUGUUAAAACUUAUUCGUAUACCUCAAAUAUUUGAUACUUUAUAAAUAUUGUCCUACAAUUUGAUGUUAUUUUUCAAUUAAAUUCAUAAUUUUAAUUCUAAACUUGUUAAUAUUUAUUAAAUAAUAUAAAUUGCUACUUGAUUAUUCUAAUUUCUUUGUAUUUUCUUGUUAAAUAUAUUUGAAACAUCAAAUAUAUAUGAAUAUACCUUUAUUAAUAUCAAUAUAUUAUUAGAUAUGAUAUAUAUAAUAUUUUAAUUUUUAAAUAAUUUUUAUUUAUGACGUCAUCCGGUUCGACCCCUAUCGACCCCCGGUCGAACCCAUUGACCCCUGACCCCUGACCUUGGCCGAGUCGCUAUCCGGUCCGAUUCUGAAAACAUAGGUUCAAAUGGGUGAAGUUAUUGACCAAUUUUGGACGGGGUGAUCAAAGAUUAAAGCUUAAACAUAUGAGACUAAGACGAAACUGCCUGAAAAUUCAGGGGACUAAAACUGCAAAGCUUAAUUCAGGACACCAGCUUUUUGUGCCUUUCGGUGUCUAUCUCUUAAUUGAACGCUGAUGGUCAGGCGGUUGGAUUCUUUUAGUCUCUCGCACAAUUAAUAGGACAAAUGUGCAUUAAUUCAAAGAGCACCAGCCGUUGGAUCAGCAUAACAGUCAGUGGUGGAUGACACUGCAGUCGUGCUGUUCUGAUUCAUUUUUGCGUAUUAAGGGUUGAUUGGUAAAAGAUUAGCUUAAUUACAAGUACGUAAUUUAUUAUGGGAGUGGAUUUUAUGCGGUAUCCUUUCCUACCGCCGGCCUCGAAAUUGGCUGCGCCAAGUUUAUUGAACACUAAUCUGAUGGUAUGUCUUUUAAUCCAAAUAUUUGAAAAGUUUUUAAAGCUGCUGGAAUAAUCAACAUUUAUUAUUACUCCCUCCCUUUUUUUAUAACUGACGUUUAAGAAAUUUGCUCUAAUGUACUUUUAUCUGUCAUUUUAUUAUCUCAUACAGUAUUAAUUAUUUUUUCACAAUUUUACCCUUUUAUCUCUCUUUUUCAAUACAGGGUUCUUAAUUACUACUCUUAGUAAUUAUUGCUUUGACCUAGUAAAACAGCAUCAUUUAGUAUUCUAGUGAGAGAAAAUAUGGGUGAAUUGGACAAUUAAUGAGGGUACAAAAGGAAAAUAGUGUAAAGAUUUAAGCAAUAAAAAAUUUUUCUUAAUUGGUGUGCAAAAUCUUGAACGUCAGUUAUAAAAAAAAAAGGAGGGAGUAUUAACGCAUAAAGCGGGGGUGGCUUUUGUCCGUUUGCGCCUUGGGUUUUAUUUAGUGGAAAGGGCAGCCGAUGGAUGAUGCGCAGAUAACGUAAGAGCUUGCUAAGAAUGCCGAAUUGCUCAUGCGAACGGAUCAAGAGUCGAGAUAAACACCACCAUGUUGCUCUGUGUUAGUGUGCCUACACUUCUAGUUACCGUGGCUUAGAUUCUUUGGAGCCAUCAUCAUGGCCUCUUUUUUUUUUUUUUUUUUUUUUAAAAAAACCCAUUCUAUUCAUUAAAUUAGCAUUAAAUUAGUGCAAAUUAAUUUAGCCAAUUUAUGCUUGAAAUGACACUUACGAAUUAAGACGGCCCAGAUUCAAAAUUCGUAUCCUAAAUCUAACGAUGAUGAUGUGAUAAAAGAAUUCUAAAAAGAUUUAUGACUAUCGAACCAGACGAACAUAAUGACGAGAAUAAUAAUAAUAAUGGCUGUUAUUUGACAGUUUUUAUUAUUAUUAUUAUUAUCACCAUCACCAUCACCAUCAUCAUCAUCGUCUUCUUAAUCAGUUCACUCCGCCUCUUGAAUGUUGGAACCGCCACGUGUUUUCUUUUUUUUUUUUUUUUGUAGAGCACGCCACGGAGUAUUUGUUCUGGAGCACGACGAAGUGCAUCGUAGGGGACCAAUUUUGUACUCCAAAGGGAGAAAAAAAUGUCCAUCGCGGUGCUCCAAUUUGGAAUUCACACCAUUGAAAGCAAAAGUUUCCGGAUUUGAGCCACUUGGAGUCCCUUUAUGGACCAUCUGAUUGUAAUGGUUGGCAUUCCUGCACUUACUAGCAGUUUAUUUCAGUCGUUAUUUCUGUCGACCAAUCUUUUAGAGAAAAUGACCCAAAAAUUUUAGUUGCAACCCAAUUAACUCAAAAGAGCAGAUGCAGAUCAGAUCUUUUAAAUGAUGGCACAAGUCAAAGCAAUCCGCAUCCAUUGCGGUAAUUAUUUUAGUUUAUUGGAUGCGGGCACAUGGGUUGGGAAGAAAGGAAACAGAAAACACAAAGUGCCAACCCAUCCGAGAGGGGGGGAAAAAAAAAAGAAAGAUAUACAGAAUAAAUAAAUGGACAGGAAGAUCCAAAUUCGGAGUACCUGACUGGAAGGACAGUUGAAAAAUAAGAAGAUUACAUGGUACAUACAUAUCUUUAAUUAGUAACUGGUCGUCACCGGAUUCUUGUACAAAUCAAUAGAAAACAAAAUGAAACACCUCUACCUUCGGUUUCACUUGACUCUCUCGAUACUGAAAUUCAACUGUUGACUUUGUCUUUCCACAGCCUGGCAACAAUUAUACACUGGUGACAAAGCUUCCACACCAUACAUUAAGGCCACUGACGCUGACAAAAGAUUUACAUCCUGCCCAAGACAAAAGACAGAGCGCAUUCACAUCCUGCUUGGUCUGAUUUAGCUGCAGCAACUGCGUGCGACCUCCAGAGUAGCUCCUAACCUUGUAAAUCUGUUGAUCCUUCCAUAUCUCGUAGAAAAUUUUUACUUUUUUUUUCAUAUUUUUCAAACACUUUUUUAUUUUAUAUAUAUUAAAUUAUUAUAAUAUUUUUUUUUUAACAAAAAUUCUUGAAUAUAACAACAAUUCAGGCGACUCCUGAAAAUCUUUUGUUCGGUUUUAUGAAUCACUUUAAAUAUAAUGUAAACCUCAAAUAAUUUUUUGUGAACAUCAUGUAAUCAUGAUGCUUAACCUUCAGGAACAAUUGUUACUUGCGACAAAUCAUGAUGCUACCCUAAUUCGAAAAAAAGAUGACUCGAAGAAGAAAGUCAACAUCGGCAUCUCUGGUGAGCUAAGCAGCCAUGCAUCAUAAUUCAUAAGCAUAAUGUUAACCUAAAAUAAAGAUGACAAGGUACGUCAGAAUUGUUAUUAAAAUGGAUAUGCAGAUUGAAUGUCGACCUUGAGAGAGCGGUCGACUGGGCUCGAGACUAUUGAAUAAUUGCCGUUCCUACGCAUCUUACGUGUUUGUCUCGCCCAACUUUAAUAUUUCUAAAUGUACUUAAAUCCGUUGUAGCUUGCAUUUCCUUUUUUUCUUUUUAUUUUUUUCCUGGAUUGGACUAACCACUUUUAUGGAAUUUUGCAAGCAGGCAACCAGAAAACAGAUUACACCUUUCACUGAAAGCAGCGCCGUUAUUGCUACUAAGGACGUUAUUCCGGGGGGCCUUUUUGGUCAGGGAUGGCAACGGAGCGGGAUUUGAGCGGGAGAGGGACGCCUCGCUUCCCCCGACUGUAGGGGAGCUAAUAAAAAGUUGUCAUAUAAUUUUUUAUAGUCAAAUUUUAACAAACAAUCAAGUACUAAAAUAUCAACACAUCACCAAAUUAUCAUCCUAUUGUAUUUUUAUAAUUGAAACUCAUAAAAACAAUCAAAUAAGAGUUGUUUGAAUACAACCUAAUAUCAUCAAAUAAAUAUAACUAAAGUGAUCAAUUUUUCACUUCUGACACAAAUAUAAUUAUUAAAUCAUUAUUGUGUUUUUUUCUGAGGAAAAAAGUGUUAUUGUGUUAUGUGUAAUUAGAAAUUUAGUAUAAAUGUAUUAGUUAAUUUAAUAUAACUAAUUAAUAAUUUCUAUUAGUAGACAUAUAUAAUUAUUAGUAUAAUUGAUAAUAUCAAUUAAAUUACAUAUACUAAUAUCCAUUAUAUAAUACAUAUAAUUAAUAAUAUCAUUAUUAUAAAUUUAUAACUAAUUAAAUUAAAUAUUAUAUAUAAUUAUAUACAUACAUAUAUUCAUUUAUUAUUUUUUGGAAAAAUCGCCCAAAACGUCCUUCACAUUUUGUAAAAUGACUUUUUUCGUUCCUCACUUUUAAAAGUGUAAUUUUAUGUCCCUUACAUAUUCACAUCGGUCAAAUUUAGUCCCUAAUUAGGUUUUCCGAUCAUUUUUUGGCCGAAAUCCAUUACGUGCCUUGUACGUGAUCAUUUUUUAAGGGUAAAUUUGUCAAAUUAUAUUUUACAUAAUCUGAUCUAUAGUCCUCCAUAUUUUAUAAAACAAAUUUUUUCGUCCCUCAUAUUUUAUAAAAUGAUUUUUUUCAUCCCUCACAUUUCACAAAAUGAAUUUCUCCAUCCCUCACAUUUCAAAAAAUGAAUAUUUCCAUCCCCCACUAAUUAUAUAUGUAAGGGAAACUCUAAAAAAAAUGUGUGCGAAUACAUUUUGUUUAAACACAAGUAUAUGUCUAUUUGAUUUUGCUUAAUAAUCCGAAUAGCAUAAAUAUAUGUAUGUGUCUAUUUGAUUUCACUUAACAAUACGAAUACCAUAUAUUAUACGUGAUCAUUUGAUUUCAUCUGGUAUUAGCUAGUAAAUAAUCUUGCAUUCAUUGUCAAGUUGGUCAAUAAAGUUAUUUUCGAUCAAAAUACAAUAAGAAUAUGCAAAUUAAGGUUCUAUUGUAAAUAUUAGUCAUAAUCAUACAAAAUGAGAAGAUAGCCCACAAGUUGGCCAAUUACAUACAUGUGUUUAUACUAUUAUUAUUAAGCAAAAUCAAAUAGAUAUAUAUAUGUGUUUAAAAAAAUGUAUUUACACACAUAAUUAGUGAGAAAUGAAAAAUUCAUUUUGUGAAAUGUGAAGGAUGGAGAAAUUCAUUUUGUGAAAUGUAAGGGAUGAAAAAAAUCAUUUGAUAAAAAGUGAGGGACGAAAAAUUUUAUUUUAUAAAAUGUGGAGGACUAUAGAUGAGAUUAUGUAAAAUAUAAUUUGACAAAUUUACCCUUAAAAAAUAAUCAUGUGCCUUACACAUAAUGGAUUCCGGUCAAAAAAUGAUCGGAAACUUAGUUAGGGACUAAAUUUGUCCGAAGUGAAUAUGUAAGGAAUAUAAAAUUACACUUUUAAAAGUGAGGGACGAAAAAAGUUAUUUUACAAAUGUGAGGGACGUUUUGGACGAUUUUUCCUUAUUUUUUUAACGAAUCGUGAGACAGGUAUACCCUGCCCCCACCCCCCCUCCCCUGUCUAGGGAGGGUGGAAAUUCCUCUCCGUCCCAACUCCCGUCCCAUUAGCCCUCCGCGGAGUGGAUCCCGCCCAAUUGCCACUCCUAUUUGCGGUUGCGGGUGUGGGCACGUAAGAUUUGUUUAUUCGUAUGGUUCUUAAAAGGUCGAAUGGCACUUUGCCCUCUGAACCAAAACAGUACACAGUUUGCCUUCGUUCACACUGAUGAUCGUAGAGGCAGCCGUGAUCAGCGGGCCAAAAAUGAAAAAACUAACGAAAUGUGACUAAAUUGUCCACUUUUGCGUGUGCAAGUCCACAAAUAAAUAUCCUAAAAAACCUAUGCUCUUAGUCCUCCACAUAUUUUCUUCCUGUUUUUUGAUCCUUCAUUUUUUGUUUCUAGCGCUAGCAGCCUCACUUGCAUUCCGUCUCUUUUUUUUUUUAAUAUCGCUCGGCAAUCUCCUUUUAUUUUUUGCACGCUUCAGGCUCCAUCCCGCGAAGAUACCCAAAUGCACAUUUACUUUCGAAGUUGAAGCAUCCAAUAAGAUGCACAAUGGUGUCAUUUCCCACACUCGUAGUUGCAUCUUCAUAUUGCUGAGUUGUUUGAGUUAGUUACCCGAGGCAUUUUGCUAGAUGUUUUUAUUUUGAAAUUUUUGUAUUUCUUUUUUGUGCGCUUCCAUUAUUUAUCAACACUAACACCUUUAUACUUGUUUGGCUUUACAGCAACUCCAAUUUUAGCCGUUAGCUAGCUGUUUAGGGGGGAAAUCUGGAAGAAAAUUACUCGCAUGUUUCAAGACUCUUAAUUCGUCUGACACACAUGGGCGCGCUCCUGCGCCCCCCGCCGCCGCCGCCGGGGUGUAGUAAAGUGUAUACUCCCUCCGUCCCACUUUGAUAGUCCUGUUUCUUUUUUCACACAGUUUAAGAAAAAGUAGUUAACUUUGUUGGAAAAGUAAAUUUAGAUUGCUAUUUUCCUAAAAUACCCUCACAUUAAAUAGAGUACAACUUUAUGGGAACUUGAAUUGAUGGUUAAAAAAGAAUCAACUCUCAUUAAAUGGGGUAGGUUUAUAGCAACAAUAACUUAUAUUGAAUAAGGGUAUUUUAGGAAAAUGAAAAUACAACUACAUUCUUCAAUUGGAAAGUGGACUGCAAUUUGGGACAGACAAAAAAGGAAAACAGGACUAUCAAAGUGGGACGGAGAGAGUAUUAUUUUGGUUGGAGGGGGCAUAGUGGAAUUAACACCAUAGUUCAGGGAACAUUCAUCCUUCUUGAAAUGGUGGUGUCUGUCGAGUGAACAACUCGGCAGAAUUUCUCCCAAAAGAAACAGAGCCACAUGUUACGUUUCUAGUUUUCUGUUUCAUGGAUUAUACUGUUAGACUGCAUAGACAGGGGCAUUAGAAAAAUUAGUUUAAAUUUUGAUAGAAAUUGUGGGGAUUUUAAGAUUCGUAUGUUUGUUUUGCUUUUUGCUUGUGAAUGAUUUGAUGCUCUUAUCCUUGUUUUCCUAGCCUUUGAUUCGUAUCCCUUUCCACUGCCUGCUUCGUUUCCCAUGUACAAUUUAUUUUUCAUGCGUCGAAUGUGCAGCCAAAACACCAAGAUGCAAAUUCCAUUUUCUAUUAGCAGUUAGCCGGUUAGCCAAACCAUCAACCAAACUUAUUUCUUAAAAAGCCAACACUGCCGCAAGCAACUAGAAGUAAAUGCAUGCCCCAAUCCCACGUUCCUACUUCUUAAAUCCCAAGUACCUUCCUGCUUCUACAAUCCCACCUUCUCUUGCUGAAAAGAAAUUUAAAAAAAAAAAGAAGCAAAUAUAUGCACACACUAACAAUGUCAAGCUAAUUUUAUUCGUAAAUAGUCGGGGUGGUUAUGUUUGCUGAAAUAGGAUGAAGAGCUCAGCUUGGUUAUCAAAUUAAACGCUGUAAAAGUACGUGUAGCAAAAGUGAAAAAGCAUGAUUUACUCCAGGUACGAAAUCUCAAGUAGAAUAAACAAAACUUUCACCACCACUGAUCUCUGAUACAGAGCUUAAGCACUCUUCUUCACCUCUGCAGACUUGAUAAUGUCAAUGAACUCCGGCUAGCCACACAAAAAAGAGAAUCAGAAGACAGAAAAUACAUCUUCUGCUUUAUUUUUACAUAUUUAUCAUUUUAUUAUUCUACUUUCAAAUCUUGCUUCUUUGAGUAAUUGAGAACAUCAAGGUCAUAAACCGUCUAGGAGAAGAAGUGGAGCAAAAACUCUAAUGAGAUCAUUACCUUUAGAGAAGCUCCACCUACAAGAAAUCCAUCAACAUCAGGUUGUGCAGCUAAUUCCUUGCAGUUGGCACCAUUCACCGAACCUGCAGAGUCCAAAGCAUAAUUAUAGACAAUUUUGAACACAGUGCCUCACCAUUUAUUAAUCUCACAUAGUUGUAGUAUGGCCAUAUGACACCAGCAAAGAGGGCUAAAAUAUGUGGGACCCAAGUUUAAUGCCACCAAAACUAAAACCCCAAAAGAAAACGAACGACCAAAGUCUAUAUGUUUCCAGGCAACAAUAGCAGAAAGUGCAGCAGACUUCCCCCUGAUGGAAGGUAUGCAUACACAAGGUUCUUAUCACCAUAAAGGUGUUAUAAAACAUCUGAUUAUGACAUUGAAAUGGAGCUUCCUUUCCAUGUACAACUAUGCUCACCCUUCGGUUAUAAUCCCACCCUACCAAACUUCCUCCCAAGAGAUACUUUUCACUUCUGGUAUAUUCAAUAAUCAACAAAAUCCAGUAAUCUAUGUUCAUUAAAUUUCAUAAUGUAAUUGAGAUGUUAGGAAAUAAAUUCUACAACAUCACUUCUCAAGGAUACCUUCAUACAUCAAUAGUAACUAAUAUGGCAGAUAAUGUAUUUCUAAAAUCAGAGCUGACAAGUGCAUGGUUCAGAAUUUUCUAUUUUAAACCCAUUCUUCUUUUGUUAAUAUUUAUUUAGAAUUCAAACUUGAACCCAGGUCUGGUAGAUGCUGAAAACUUGAGAUGUCUUUUAUUUCAGAGUAAGACUGCCAGUUGACAGUACGUCAAACAGAACAAUAAGUUUAACAUUAUUUUUUUCGUUGCCAGGUCAAAGCAUCAGUACAUGACACUUUAAUCAAUUGCUCAUCUUACAGUUCCAAAUCAAAACCUUGAAAUUAACACAAGGAUUGGGAAGAAAUGUUAAAAACAAACACUGGGAAAUUUUUUGAACAUGGAGUUGGUAAAUGACAGGAUUACCUCCAUAGAUAAUUCUAGUUGAGGCAGCCACUUCAGGGCUUAUAUUAGCGUGAAGCCAUUUCCUCAGUUCAGCAUGUACCUAUUAUUCACCAUGAUGACAAAAACACACAUUGUAAAAAACUGAAAAAGUUAAGCCAACUUUCACAUUCCUAUAAGAACUGGACAUACCAAAAUAAGAUAAAUUUUACAUGCAAAAUUAACCCCUAAGCAGAUUUAUUUUUUGGUAAUCAGUGAAUAAUGCAAAGAAGGAAAAAAGUAUAAAAAGACGCCAGUAAUGGGUUUAUUGAAGAACCAGUUUGGUUCAUAGACCUGGAUUCUAGGCAACUAUUUUGCCACGAAAAUUAGUGUAGUACAAGACUAACAAUAGAUCCACACAACCAAACCCCCCCCCCCCCCCCAAAAAAAAAAAGGACCUUAACCAAUUGUUCAAAUAUUAUCCAAAAAUUUGGAUAUCUGAUCCCUAAAUUCUAAAUCCAUGAUCUCUUUAGUUUCCCAUGAUGAAAUAAGCACACAGGAAACCCAAAGUUCUACUUUUGAAAAAUGUUCUCCAAACCCAUCUAAGCUGCCCAAAAUAGAUAGAGACAGCCUAUCUGUAAGUCACUUGUGUUAUACAGUUUGUCUGUGGGAGACAAACAAAGCUAUCCCGAAAAAAGCACAGGCCCUCCCAGGAAAAUAAAAACCAACAAAUUCAUCGAAUGAAAUUCCAAUUCUGACCAAGAAUAAGAGCUAGGCUAAAGUAAUGUUUUCCUCUCAAGUAAGCAAUUUAUAGUGCAGAAAGCAAGCAACUAGGUCAUUUUAGUUCAUCUUUCAAGACAUUAUCAACCUUGCAUACUCACCAACAUUUUCACAUUAGCAAAAACUUCAUCAAGAACAUUAUAUUCGUUAAGCAAAAUAUUUGGUGUUGUCUUCUACCACCAAGUGACCAAGUAAUUCUAGACAAUUCCAAGCACCACAAGAAAUCAAUUACCAAAGUUCUGUAUAUACAGUUCUUACACCUUGAACAUUCACAUGUUAUCAGCCAUAUUUUUGGUUGAUAAUCAGCAAUACGGAACUUAGGCAAUGAGUAGAGUAUGUAUAAAAUUAGCUAAGGACUUACUUCUUGGGCCUGAGCAGGAGUUGCAACCUUCCCAGUUCCAAUAGCCCAAACAGGCUCGUAAGCCACAACCACAUUAGUCCAAUCUGAUACGCGGUCUGCAAUGUGGAUGGAAUUCAAAGCAGUCAGCUAAAAAACUAACGACUGUUGAGGCCAAUCUAAAACCUGAUAAUGACAUACGCAUAACAUAUACAAACUAAAAGUAAGUGACCAAUGAAAAAGCAAGUGGGCAUACUACCAAUUAGGUUCUGGACAAAUAUUAUUCUGAUACAUGAGUACAUUAAGAAACAAAAGAGCUCUUCAGAAAACAAGUGCUUUUUAUCUCUCGCCUCUCACCUUUGUAUGAUAGUGUUGUGGGGCAUGUCCAAGUGUCUGCUAUACUCUAGUAGAGUAUGGAAAGUCAUUUCCCAGUAAAACAUAGAGAUGAAACCAAAACAACCAGAAACGUACAAUCAAGUAACUGCCAUAGUCCUUAACUAGAAAUUCAUCAGAGAUUUAUUCAUUGAACUCAGAUCUCACAUAAGUCAAAACACUCAGGUGACAGAAAACUGAGCCCAUUAAGGAGGGAAUUUUCAAAUUAAGUUAAACAUAACAUCACAAGGACUAGUAAUCAUAUGGUCAAGACAUCCGGACUAGUUGUUGGCCAAGAGGUGCUGUAACUUCCCCAAGUAUUUGGGGCCAAGCUUAUCAUGUUCCAGAGCAACAAGUUUCAUUAAGACACAAACGCUCUGCAGAAGCGUAGGAAAGUGUGGGACAUGAAGCAGACUGCAAUAGCAGCCGCACAUUUCAUACCCGUGUCUCCAAAGAGACUACUGAUAUCAGUACCUGCAAUUGCCUUAGUUUGUGCAGCAACAACUUCCAGAGUUGAACCUGAUUCUCUCUGCUCAAGAGUCUCUCCAACACAGGCAAUUACCUUCAAACCUCGAGAAAGGGCAUAUGCAACUUUAUCUCCAACAAACUUGAAAGAAAACAGACAGCGAUCAAGAUAAGUUAAUCAGCAAAAGCAUCAAGAGUUUGCUUGAAAUGAAUAGUGACCAAAAUUGAAGCCCAUAAACUUGUUACAGAAGUAGAGAAAGGUUACCUCAUUUGAUUCACCCAAUAUCAAUCUCCUCUCUGAGUGACCAAGAAUGACCCAUGGAAUGUCCAAAUUGACAAGCAUCUCAGCACUAAAUCACAAUUAUGUGACAAAAAAAAGUUUUCAUCAUCUGUUAUAACCUAAGGUUGAAACUUGAUAUAACUUUUUAACAAAAUGUUAGCGAUAUCACAGAAUGGCAGAUAAUUUAUAUUUCAAGAAAUAAAACCGAAUUGGUAUUCAUGCAAAACUAGUUGUCACUAAACAAAUGCCAAAAGGAGCACUGCAAACUUAUAGAGCCAAUAUUUCCAUGUCGGAGUCUCCCAUGGCAGAAAGUAACAAGUUUUAAAAAGACCAAUAGAUUAUACCCUGCAGCCAACAUCCUAAGACAAUAGAAAGAUUAUCUGCCAAACAUACCUAAUCUCACCAGUGUAGGCACCCCCUUUCUUAACCCAACAAUUUUGGGCAGCAACAUGGAAAUCCGGUCGCAAUGAGCCCUUGGUCAAUGGAAGAAACACAAAUGGAGGGCUCACAACAACCUCUGCAGCAAUAACAAGCUCUCAGGAACAUCAGGAAACUUGAAGACAAAAAGUAAAUGCAAACUAAAAUGCUACCCAAACGAAGCUAGUACCAUGAUUACUCACCCACGACAUCCUGAGACGGAACAUCACCAGCAUUAAGUGUUGAGAUUAUUUUCUUCACCUCCUCAUUGGUCCCAUUCUGCACGAAUAAUAGAAUUUCCUCUCAUUAUCAACUUUUCUAGCCACACUCGCUAAUUAGUACCAACAAAAAUCGUUAACUCUGAUUAGUUAAACCAUACAAAAUUUCUUCUAACCGCUUCAAUUUGAACUGAAGUGUUUUCCAUAUCAUUGGCUGUGUGAAUCAACAAUGCCUCUAGCCACACUAGCUAUUUAGUGAAAUAAAGUCACUCAACUCUAAUUAAUGAAACCGCAUCAAUUUUCUGCCAGAUCAAAUGUACGAGAGCUUAAAUCUGAGGUAAAAUAUUUUCUCCUUUUGCUUUAUUUCAAGCAAUUAAUAAUGUCCAAAACAACAACGAGCAACAAGCUUUGAAGUCCAGUCGCUGUUAUAAAAUCGAUGCUCAAGUCACUAGAUUACCAAAAUUGUCCAGUUACUAAUAAAGCAGAAUUUUCCAAUCACAGUUGUCAAAAAUUCAGAAUCAGGAUCUAGACCGUAUCCACUUUGCUAGAUCAGCUGAAAAUACCACCAUGUAAAUGUAGAACGAUCUCCAAACAAACAAACCAAAAAAAUCGAUUCGCAAAGCACAUAAAAAGAAACAGUACAUAUGUAGAAAUAGCCAAUUACGAACAACUGAUGAACAAAAAGACUUACGCAUUUCCAGUUGCCUCCGACGAAGAACUUUCUACCCAUGAUGGACGAAGAUUGCAAGGAUUUCAACUGGAUUGUGGUGUAAGGAAGAAAACUGCGGGCGCUCUAAUGCUUUUUGGGGUUUUCAGGGGUGAUCGAGGAUUAUAUUGCGGGGCUUUGAUUUUUUAUUUUAGGAAAUUGUGAAAAUGUGCGGAUCUAAGUGGAUUGUGUAUCACUGCUGUCGAAAUGACUAGUUUGACCUUUCACAGAAUAUCCACAGAUGUUGUAUUGCUGGUCCUUGUUAAUUGUUCCUCGUUAAGCUUCGGAGCUUGGCAAGGGUAAUCUGGUCAACUUGCUUGCUAUCUAAAUGCAUGGUCUGAGAGGUCACACUAACUUCGUAACUGCUCCUCCCUCCCCGUGAUUAUCGACGUCAGCCUAAUUAAAAGUUUUGGGCUUCGUUUUCCAUGGAUUGGGCCGCUCUAACACCGAGGAGGCUUAGACUCUAGGGACCAACUUUAUUUCAGGACAAAUGUAUUCCAACCUCAGUUUGGGUAUAAAGGUUAUGGGCUUAGACCCAACUCAUCCAUCCCAAUUCCAAUGUCAGGGAAGAGGCUGGUUCACUAGAGGAUGUGGAAGGGGUUUUUUUCUUAUUUUUCUUUUUCCCCCCUCCUCCUUUCUUUUUUGAGCAACAUCUACAUCUAUCUUAUUCUGUCUUAUAGUAAACGAGAACCCAAUUGCAUUAAGAGGAGUCAGAAGAAAAAAUCCCCACCAAAAACCAGAAGGGAUCUUCUGGUUGCGACCAAAGGCCUCGAUCAGAUCAAGGGAUGGUUGGAAGGGGAGAGGAGGAGAAAGGAGAGGAAAGGGGUGGUGGGGGGGAUAAUGGCAAUGGUGGUCAUGGAUGGUAGUAUUAAUUUUUAAAAUGUAUCAUAAAAAUAUUUUUAAUUUUAAAAGAUAUCUUAAAAUAUAUAUCAAAAACCUCUCAAAAAACAUCACAAAAAAUAUAUCUAUAAUAAAAUUUUUUUAAAUACGCUGUUACAAUAAAAUAUUUCAAAAACACUUUUAAAGACAGCUAAUCCAAACGAAACUAUUUGUGCUGGUAAAAACACAUCUAACUAGUAUAAUGGCAAACCCAUCAUAAAUUACCCUCAUUCAAAAAAAAAAAAAGAGAAAAAAAUCAAUUCUUUUGUUAUUGGCAUAUCUUUUUUAUUGCUUAUCAACUAUAAUCAUUAUUUUGUCAUAAAUCGCUGGCACUUAAAACAUCAAUAAUUCCCCGUGAAGGAAUCUCGCCAACUCUUUUUUUUUUUGUCGAUGCGAUAACUUCCUAUACUAUAGAGAAGGAAAGGAUCUCCUAGAGUCCGGAGAUAAUUUGAAAAGGACUAAACCAUCAUGGAAUCAGACCAAUGUACUACGCACUCGUUUGACUUUUUUAAGUAAAGCCACGUCUAAAUGUGACAAAUUGGUGGGAGGGAGGUGGUGGCCACCAAUUCAAAGGCUGGUAGUUAGGAAUCUCGCCAACUCGCCUGUGCCCAAUGAAGUCAAUCGCUCAACAUCACGCUUUUGCCCUUAAAGUGGAUUGCAUGAACCGACUUCAGUAAAGGAAAAUUCCCUUCUAGUCCCUAAAUCAGUUUCCCGCCAUCUCAAAAUUAGGGCUCACUUUCACUACACUGAUUUUGUUAUCGUCCUCAACCCUCACCUGCCAUUCUCUUAGAAAUCGUCAAAUUUUCCUUCCCUACUCCAUACUAGAAAACAAUUCACCCCAAAAUCUUCUUUUAUCUUAUUGAAAUGGCCAGCCAAGCCGAUGCUCAUGCAGCCACAUUCUCUGCUGCCGAGGUUCUAAUAACUUAAAUUGUUAAUUCAUUUUUAUAGGAUUAAUUAAGUAGGAUUUUGGCUUCCUUUUGUCUGUUUAAAAAAAUAUUGCAUCUGUUUGAGUUUUGCAGUUGGAGUUUCUAGCGGAAGAUGAGCUGAUUGAGAUUGUACCAAAUAUGAGGAUGGAUCCUCUCAACCUCAUCUGCGUACUAUUCUAGUCUUUUAACUUAGCUUUAUAUAUGCCCAGAAGAAAAUUUUUGCAAUCUGCUUACGUGAAAAGUACCGUUUUCUUUUUCUUGCUUUUUGAACUUGCCAGGGAGAUUUUGGCCCAUUUAGACCACAAAUAGCUACUCAGGUGCCUGUUUGGUUAGCUGUGGCUUUGAAGAGGAGAGGGAAAUGCACAAUUAGACCUCCUGACUGGAUGUCUGUGGGUGAGUUUUGCUUUUUAAAGAAUUUUCUCUAAUCACUUUUCGUAUUUUGAUGCUCUACCUUUUGCCAGUUCGUGUUCUGCACAACUGGAUAUGAAUUCAACUUGGGGCGGGCCCGUUUGGUGAAAAAAUUGAAGUGCUUUACAUUAAAUUCGUUCUACAGUUAGCAAGAAAUUUUGAAAAUGAAAACUUGAAGGAAAAUGCGAAUGGUGCAACAUAAAUUGCUUGAAAUUAUUUGGGUUUGUGAGUAGAUUUUCAGAGAGGAUACUAAAUGUUACUUGAAAGAGAAAUGAGUAACAGAAGAGAUCGUACCGGAUUGUUAAUUGUCUUCAAUUCAUCUUUGCCAACUAGAAAAGUUGACACAAGUUUUGGAAGCAGAGAGAGAUGCUGAAAAGUUUCAGCCAUUACCAUUCCAUUAUGUAGAAAUCUCAAGGCUUCUUUUUGAUCAGUAAGUUGCUCUGUAUGUUAUUUUGUAUUCGAAAGUGAUGAGUGCUUGUUUUGUUGUUUUCCUGUGUUGAUGGUGGCAUUUGUUGUGUAGUGCACGUGAUGACAUUCCUGACAUAUACAUGGUUAGUUAAAUGGUCCCUUGAGGUUCUCUAGUUACACUUAAUUAAUAUUUGCUCACAGAAUGUCAAUUUUAAUGCUUUUAGGUAAGGUCAUUGAUUGAGGACAUCAAAGAUGUGCGGUUUCACAAAAUUGGAACUGGCUUAGAGAUAAUAUCAAGGGAGCGAACAUAUGCAUUGAGGGUACACUUAUUCUUAUUUUUGUGAAUUCAUUGUUGAAAUGAUAGGUUUUACCUUUCAAUUUAUAUCUUGAGGUUAUGACAUUUGAGCUUGGAGAUGUCCUUUCUUGAUUCUUCUCAAAAAGUGAAACGUUAAAGAAAGCUGAGAAGAUGACAAGAGAUUAUGUGCCUGCAUAUCUGUUGUCCUAUUUCCUGUCUAUGUUAGACAUGAGAUUAUCAUUGUUGUCACGUUGAAAAUGUAGGUGUAGAACCACUGUUUAUUUUGCUCCAGUGUCUAACUACUGCAAAAUUGGCUCAGGACCGUAUGCCAUCAGUAACUUACUAGUAUUUGCUUCUAACAUGAGUGCGACUGUUUGUGCUUUGAUUGCUGUUUGACUGGUGCUUCCUGCAAUGAUUUUCUUCUCAGUGCUUUUCUGAACAUACUUGGCUCAAUGGAAGAGUAACCCCUGGUCUCUUACUAAAGUUAUCCUUUUACAUCCUUAACCAAAUGCACUUCUUUGUCUCAGAAUUGGUUUAUCCCUCCUGCAAGGAUAUAAUGUCCUUUUCUGGUACCUGAACUGCUCUGAUGCUUAUUAGAAUUAGAAUGUCUAUGUUUGUUCUAUGUGUCAAUCUUUCUAUUUGAUUUCUAGAUCUAAUAGAAAGCAAAUGUAGACAAUGGAGUUCUGAUAUUCCUGUUACAGUCUAAAGGUAGGGUGGCGGUGGGCUUAUAAUCGUUAUAUUCUUCAAUCUCAGAAUUGAUAUUUUAUUGGAUUAAAAGGGAAGGUAAGGAGCAAAAAUUCAAGUGGACAAGUUUGUUGCUACUUGAAUUUGAUUCAGUUUUAUGGAAAUUAUUUGUUAGCUUGUUAAUGUUAAUCCAGAACCAUUUCAUGCAUAUAGAUGCUCUGUAACAGCAAGAGAACUUCAUUUGUAGUAAGUCCUGAAUAUCACCCUUCAAUUUUGUAGCUGAAAAAUCUGUCAGCAAUGGAAGCAAAUAUAGUGCGGCCAUUUGUGACAAGGGCUCUUCAGACAUUUUAUAAGCUCAAUAGUCCUGAUAUGAUUCAGGAAUCAGACAGCGUGUCAAACAGACAGCCUCAAACGGCCAACCGUGGGCCAAGGGUGAGCUUCUCAUUCCUGUAUAUCUGUAUCUUUUGGCCCUUAGAAUAUUUUUGUUAAGGCAUGCAGCAUGGCAUGGAACUUGCCAACACAUUAGCUAUAGCACUUGAAAGUACUUGACAAAUUGUGAGUGAGCGAAUAAUAUACUUAAUCUUCAUGCUGAGGUUGUGAUGCUAACUUUUUAUGUUUUUUGACUCAGCGUCAAUUGAAAGAUAGAUGAUCGUAUCCCCAUUGGUAUUUUCAAUUGGCUUAGCAACCACCUCAGCAUUUGUUGCUGAAGUAACAACAUUCAGAACGCUAGCUGGAGGUGCUGCUGUGGUUGAGUAAACUACCCAAUAUUGCUGUUGUCGAUCCCUUUUCAUGUUGAAAAAGCAUCGAGAAGUUCACUGAAAGGAAUGUGGCAUUUGUUUGGGUUUCUUAUCUUUGAAAACUGAACACAUAGAUAAACUCAGCGUUGAAGCUUCUGCUCUCUCUUUUUCAAUUAACUAAGGGUCAUCAUUGCUUUUUAUGGCUGUUAGUUUAUUGCGACAUGAGGAAUGGCAUGGAUCAGAUGUUUUGUUGGUCAUAUUGUAGGCAGCUGAAGGCCAUUAGCCUGAAUAAAAAUAACUUAGUUUACGUGUUAUGUUUUAAAUGAUAAGGAGAUGGAGUGUACUUGUUUCUUAUGAUGCUGCAGCACACUCUAUGAAUGGGAAUUUUUUUCUUUUCUUUAGUAAGCCUGUGUUUCAAAGGCUAGUCUUCGCCGAGACUGUCUAUGAAAUGUGGAGAUCGAAGAAGCUGGUAUAUUUCAAUCAUAGCCCUUAAAUACUGUCGUAGUUAUGAACUAAUGUGAAUGAUGUACAACAUGUGGUGGUGCAGUCAUGGAGUAAGAUUCCCAGGCGUAGAGCAAACUAUGAGCAUGCACUGAAGUAUUUAAUUUUUUUUUUCUGCCAAUAACGACAAUAUUCGUAUAAUUUAAUCUAUCAUAUUCUACAGAAAGGAAGAGUCUAAAGAGAUUGUGUAAGGAAUUAAUAAAUAUAUAAAUCUGAUUAGAUCAAAAUGGUACUUUAACAUCAUUUUAAAAUUUUUUUUUACUGCAUGUGAAGUUUAAACCUCCAACCUAUAAUUCAAAGAGGGACUUAUGCCUUUUUGGACGUGGGUGUGGGAGGUUGGGGAGUGGCCUGGGGUUGAAUAAAACAGUACUGAAUAGUUGUUUGAUUUUGACGUAUCAUUAGGUUGUCAGAUAAAUCAGGCAAGGCUGGAGAAUUCUUCUGCUAAUAAAAGCAGAGUGGCUACCAGGCAGUUGAAUGUUGCAUUAAGCUCGUUGCUGACUUUGCCAUCGUCUUCACUUCGCAUAGACACGAAUAACUUGACAAUUCCCCCGGCUGAGAUUGCCAAGAUCAUACAACUCUGACCCAGAUAAGGCCACGAAAUGGUGCGUGUGCAGUUGUACGUACCAUUUCUAACCAUAUAUAUUGACAUCAGAAUGAGAAUACGACGCAAUCAACAGUCAACAAUCUUUGGACUGUUGACCAUCAUCAUCAAUUAUCAUUAUAUAUAUCUUGUCAUUUAAAUAAUUUAAAUUUAUAUGAGUAUGUAAUGCACUCAUCUACGAACGAGAAAGGAAGACAAAUUCUUUUGAUGUCCUCAGCAAAGACAAAUGCUAGUUCUUGAGGACAGUCGUCAUCAAUGUAGCCAGGUUACUGUCCAGUUUGGCUCCUAUCCUUGCCAAUUUAUCAACGCAUCUGCUGGCUUCGCGUUACCCUUGUGUCGGACGUGUGCAAAUUCUCGUGCUUCUCGAACAUCUUGACCAGUGAAGAAUGUUGUAUACUCUUGGAAACUAAUUUAAGGAGGAAAAAAAAAUUGCUAUGCACGAUGGUCGAUGCUUUAGCCAAGUUUCGGCAUCUCUUGCUCUGAUAUACCUGAGCACAGAUUAUUAUAAUCCAAGAGAUUUGAUCAAAUUGUGGUUUAAUUAGUCGCUUGUAUUUGAUAAUUGAGCUGUAAGCAUGUGCGUUUUGGUGGACCAAAUUAAAGCUCCCUUGCAUUGGUGGUCCAGCUGGUUUGUCAUGCAGCAGUUGGGUACGCCAGUUCUGCUUGCCACGUGUCUAUAUAGUUUUAAAUGCCAGAAAUGAACAGAAGAAUACAGAUGAAGUGGCUGGCUGAGACAGAACCGAAGAGCGCAAGGUAAUCCUUAAAAUAGCCAGGUUGAUAGGUGUUGUGACAUGUCCGCUGCUCCCUGCAUGCGGCCCCCACGCCUUAGAUGAUUAACAAAUGAAUUGUGGCUGGACAUGUGGAACUAGUCAUUUUUUGAUGAUGAAGGAUUGAACAUGCUGGAAUUCUGUAAAACUUUGCGUUAAAAGAAGUGACUUCCACUGUAAUUUGUAAAGAGGUAAAUAAAUAAGCAUCUAAAAAGUGGGUAGGCGAAGCAUAUGGAUGUGUGUGGCUAUUUGCAGAGGGUUCUGAACCUUUAUAUUCAUGAAGCAUGGGCUCUGAAAAACUCGACUCUUUCAGAAGGUAACGAAACAUGUCACCCUAGUUAUUUCAAGGGCUCUGCCCGCGCCAGCUUUAUGUUCCAUCCUCGAGCACGUAUGAAUGACUUGGGAGGACGAUUGCUUCAAUUCUUAUCGUUUGGAUAUUGGCAUGGUUGUCAAAAUCAAAAGGUCCGCAUUCUUGUUUUUUCUUUGGUGUUAUUGAAGUUUUUCCGUCCCUAAUCGAAUUGGCAGGAUAUGGGAGCUGGACCCUAUUUAAAACGUGGUUGGCCCGUGGUGGUUUUCCUUCCAUAAUUUGCCAAGAUUGACUUGAUCAAAGCAUUUAUGAUAAGAAAGAAAAAAGACCGAGGCACGUAGGAAGGAUGUGGAGAGGAUUUUUUUUCAAAAAAAAAAAAAAGAGCAAAGAUAUAAAGAUUUUUCUCUGAUUCCUGGCUUAUUAGAAAGACCAGAGAUGGACACGUUUGGAAUUUGGGAUGAAUAUAGUCCGUAUAGAAAAACCUUACCCUAUACAUUAAACUACUAUAAUACACUAGUGUUUUGCUUUUCUUUUUCUUUUGGGACUUGCCUAACUUGAAUUGAAAAUCCUAAAACCAGGAUUAUUAAUUACACCCAUUAGCUAUUACUAGCUUGAAGGUUCCAUUGCACAGCUGUGUUUGUUAACCUUUAAUCGACAAAUUUUACAUGAAUCCCCUUUUAGUCUUCGUCCUCUUAAUUUAAAUGAGAGGUUAAAAGAAUUUACCUUCUUUUUCCUUUUAACAAAAGGAGAUCAACGUAACAUUUAAAAAAAAAAUAAAAAAAUUGGGGCUUGGAUCUCCGUGUUCAGAAUAUCUGCAACAUAACAUGUGGAUUUUUUUAACUUCUCCUAGUAUAAUAUGUGAAGAAGGCGGUUAUAAACUUAUAAAACACAUUAUAGUAUAUUUGUUCGUAACCGUCAGCAUUGAUUAUUUUUUUUCUUCAUUUUGAUGCAAUCUCUUUGACAGUAUUCUAAUGUCCAAAAUCAUAUAAGCUGUAACCAAAGACCAUGCUCGCCUCUCGGAUAUUAAAAUAAUUAGCAAAGCAAAGACCAUCCGCCUUUUCUGAAUGAACAAUCAUUUUCCUGAAUAAUUUUCCGCAUAAAUUGAUCCAUUCUGGUUGCCUAAUGGGAAUAAACAAAUGAUCUUCGGAGCUUCCGCCCAACGUGGCGGCCCACCUAAAAUCCUAGAACUUCUAAAUUAUUGAGGCGGUGAAACCGAAACCUCAAGCAAUUCUCGACAAUCAAUCAAUCAAUCAAUCAGAGUUAACAAAUCGUGAACUGUCUGGUUUGUUUUUGGUCAUACGACAUUUUGAUGGCGGGAUCUAUUUCAUGAAACUUGAGCAAGGUCUGUGGGUCUAUUAUACUUAGCUGAACAUAGAUUGUGGAUUGCGUUUUCUUUAGAGUACUCUCUACUUUUUUAUGUUAAAUUUUUUUUUUUUGGAAUGUAAUGAACCCAAUAUAUAAAUACUAUUCAAAAAAAAAAAAUAACAAGUAGUUGGGAGAUGUGUCCUAAAAAUAUUUUAUAAUUUGUUUCCAAAGACAAAAAGAGAUGACCUUCAAAACGUAUAGGACUAGUAGCUAAUUAACUCAGAGAAUGGUAGUUAAGUUUAAGAAUUGAGCCUUAAGGUCCAAUUUAAGAUCAACUUCUGAAUGGACCCGUUGGUUGGACUAUCAAUGACAAGUCUUAUUUGUCAUGAGCGACGACUUGGAUUUUAUUGAAUUUGAUGUUGACGACUUAAAUUGCGUGACGUAUUAAACUUUAAAAAAAUCUAACUAAAGUUAAAUCAAGAGUCAAAAUCAACUGAUUUAACAAAGCAUUUCAUAUAAGAAAAAAAAUAUACAAAUUUGAAAUACACUCAAUUCGAAAUAUGAAUAAUUUACUAAAUUAGUUGUAUUCUUUCAAGGUAAUUGCGUUUAGAAUUCGUCAACAAAGCAAACCACCAUGUACAAUUUUUUAACGACCCUGAAAAGCUAGCUGAAUUUGCUUUGAAUCGUUCUUGUAGAUAUUCUAAUAUACCGAGGCAUUUUCUCAUCAGAAUAUUAAAGCUACUCCGAUCCGUUGCUUAAAUGCGGUUUAUCUCUUUUUCACUAUUCAAUGAUUGAGCUUCAAGUGCUGUCUUUGGCUAACCUAUGAUGUUAAUUAAGGGAGGGAGAGACCUAUGAUGUUAAUUUUUUGUAAAAUUAAAAUUUGUUCCAAAAAGUACCUAGAUAUAUAUAUGAUAUGUAUGCUUUUCUUAUUAAAAAGUGGUAAAAAAUUAGGGUAAUCAUCCAGACCAUCAAAUAUGCUUUUGGAUAGUUGGAUCAUGUAUACUUAUGGAUCGCCUCCUUAUAGAGCAAGUAAUAGUCCUUUUACCCAAAAAACCAAUAAUAGUAAUGAUAAUAAUAACAACAACAACAAUAAUAAUAGGAUUAAUCUUUCUUACAACACUGUGUGACAGUGUAUACACUGUAAGUGUGUUAUGAUAAAUAUAUAAAAUUUAAAUUUAAAAUUUAACUUUUACACAUAUGUGAUAGAUUCAAUAAUGAUAGUAUAGUAUAUACACUGUCGACAGUCAGUCGGUGCAUAUAAAAUUUACUCAAUAAUAACAACAAUCAUAAUAAAAGAGAGAAAGAGAAGCGAAAGUGUAUUCCCUAAAAGGGAGGCCUGGGCACUGGGAAUGGCUUGCGCACCAAAUAGUUCUCCACUUAAACUUGAAAUCUUGCAUGUUUUAAUUCACGCACAAGAUCUGUUCUUGAUUUGAUCAAGUCAUGCGACGUAAAAUAUUGAACACGCUUUAUUUUGGAACAACUGGCUAACAGUCAAGCAGCAUGCAUAACGUACGAACCCCAAUUAAAACUCAAUCCUCUCUAAUGGGGAAAAUAAGGGAAACGCGAUGCAACGCUUUUGGACUCGCUUGCAACCGAGAUGGAUAGAUAUAGAUUUAACUCUCUUAUUUUGCAACUUUCUUGACGAAUAAUUGUUAUUAAAUCUGGAUUUAAUAGAGAAAAUUUGCACUAAUUAAGGCAACAUGCUUCUUUCCUCACUUGGUGAUUCAACUAAUUAAUCACCAACCCUAAGUCCCUAACCAGUCCUUCCCAUGUGAUAUUGGUUGGCAACUCGCAUGGGUGUAUGGCGGUGGAAGUUGGAAGACGAUCGGAGAAGCCGAGUUCGAAGUCAACUCUUUAACGUUCAUCACCGCGCUUCGUCGUCAGGGAAUUGCCUUGCGAAUCACGUCAUCCCGCUCCAGUCAACCCUGAACUUUAAACCUCCCGUAACUGUAAAGAAUUUCCUCGAAACCCAUAACCGGGCGGCCGGUCGCCGGAUUUUGUCCCAUUUGUCCAUGCAUUUUAAUGCCCUUCCUACCCCUUUCCUCACCCUGUCUCUCUCUUCUUGACAAAUUGAUUUCUUCUACGUUGCAGUCUUGCCGUCGCUUUAUAGCACGCCCACCACAAAUCACAAAUGCUGGUUCAUGAAGCUCCGACGAAAAUAACGAAGGAAACAAAACAACAUGUUACUCUCGCUCGAAUGAAUAGAAUCAUUUUCUAGCCAGUGGAUAAGAUAAAUCCAAUCUCAGGAGUAAGCUUAAAAAAAAAAAAAAAGAAAGAAAAAGAAGGUGUAAAAUGAGCUUGACAAUGAAAUUGCUUUUCCCUGUGGGGGUGAAGUAGACAUGCAUAUAUCUAAGUGAAAAUACCAAUAGAUCACGGCACCCAUAUGCCUCGUGAGUCACAUUUCUUUGAUUAUUUGCAAUUGAAACAACGAACUAGUGGAAAUAAACAUAAAAUCUAUUUGAAGGAUUCUUUAGGGAGACGUAUCGUAUGAGGGUAAAAAAAAAAAAAGAUAAAUUGUAGUAUUAUGUAUACAUGACAAAAAAAAAGUUUUCUAUUUAAAAAAUUGACGACAAAAAAAAUGUCUAAUAUCUGAUACUUUCUAAAUGUUAUCCAUUUUUCUCUCGAUUUUUUUUAAAAUUAAUUUUCCUAUUCACAUAAACUUAUGCUUUCUAGACAUUGUCCCUUUUUCUUCACACUUUAUAGAUAAAUUUUGUUGACGCUGUCCCUUUUUCUUCUCACUUUUUAGGUAAAUUUUGGAACACAAAAUUCGAUCAAAAUAGUCAUUGCAUCACAAAUAGUAUGCUUUUUAGGUAAACUUGGGAUGUCCUUUGAUUUUACUAAAUAGUUUUUAGGCAAAAUUUUUUCUAUUAAAACGAAUGAGUUUACUAUUCUAAUAUGCAUACAUAAAUGAAGCUAAUAAUGCAUCCUUCUAUUUGCUUUUUUUUUUUUUUGAUAUUUAACGAGGUUAGGAGAAAAUACAAAAUAUCUUUUUUGACUCAAAAAAUAAAUAGUUUGUCAUCUGUCAACUUGCCAAAUUUUCUACACGAGCAAAGCUAGCUGUGAGUAAUAUUUAACGUCUACCGUACGUGAUUUAAUGCAGGCAAAACAGCGAAAGAUUGACAGCGGAUUAUAAGCAGAUGGCAAAGAAGCUGUAAAUUGAAUAAAACCCCGUAAUAUUUUCAAAAAACAAACAAAAAAAAAGGGAAUAAACCCCGUAGAUCCGUCCACAUGCGUCUCCAUAUUCAUUCACCUUAUCCGUUGAAGUCGCAGGAUUUUGCUUGGGUAUUACGAAAAGCCUCCGAGGAAAAGCCCAGAAAUGUCAUUUCACGUUCCCUCCUCUUUUCAUUUUAUAUGAAGUAGCUGUCCCUCGCUGCGCUUCUUCUUCUUCAUCCGCCUGGGGUUGCAGGCUUGCACUUCAUUCUCCUCGAAUAUUCUUUUCUUCACCUCACCCAUCUGGAUCAUAUUGUUAAAGUUCCAAAUAUAUCCCCUCCUUCAAACCUAUAUAUAACUCUCCAAUCGAAAAUUCAAUUCGAUUGAAUCCUCUAUAAUCCUUCAAAAAAAAAAAAUAACAAAAGAAAAUCCUCUAUACUUUGUUUUUUCUUUUUCUUUUUUUGGUUUGCCUUUUAAUGCAGUUUCACUGCCUUCUCCUAUUAGUCAUAGAAUUUUGAUAGUCCGAAUAAGGUUCGGAAUUCGAGGUAAAUCUUCAAUCGGAGUAACACCUAAUGAUCGUUAAAUUCAGGAAACUUGAAUUGAAUUUACAGAAUUUUGUGAAGUUCAAUUCGCGUUAUUUUUCGUUUCCUGAUUUUUUAGCGGUUGAAAGAAAAAUGGUGAAAUUGUUAUGACGGUGCGGACGAUGAUGGACUGUAAAGUUUGUGCGGCAUCAGGAGAUUUUUUGUGGCGGGUGAGACCGGGGAUUGCAGGAGGCGGAGGUGGCGCAAGUAUGGGACAGAUGGACGGAGGGUUUAGUCCGUCGGAUGGCGAACAUGACCUGGCGAUGAUGGUCAGUGAAUUCUUGGAGUAUGGGAGUAGCGGGGGAGCUGACUCCAGGUGUAGCAGCGAUAGCGAGUCUGGAUUGUGCGAUAUCGCUGACCUCGCGGACAAAAUUUCUGUAAGUCUUAUUCAUCUAAGGAUUAGUUUUGAUCAUUUUUUUUCUUUUGUUUUAAAAGUUAACUGUUUAUUUUCUGGAAUGUCUUUUUUUUUUGCAAGUUCUUUGUUUUUAUGAGUUUUCCUUUGGUGAUUGAUUGAGGAGGAAAACUCUUGAAAGAAUUGUGCUCUUGUUUUCCCGGUCAUUUGAAGGGCUUAGAAGGAUUCAUUCAUGCCUUGUUGCCUAGAUUAUAAGCUUCGAAAUUUGGUUAUAGGAUUUCUUUUUUGAUUUUCUAGAACUUCACAAAACAAAACAAAUAGGAGCUUUCCUUUUUUCUUUUUUUUUUAACUGAUUUUUUCCCUUAAUUUUUCAUUGAAUGAAUUGUACCCUGAAAAUCUUAUAUGUGCAGGUGUUGCUUCUUUAAGACUUUGUGUUGCCUAGGUUGCGAUACAGUAGUAAUUCUUGUUAUAUUCUUUCCAGAGAUGACCUGGGUAAGGAAGGGAUUGGCUGGUUCCAAGACUUGGGCAUAUUCUUUAACUAGUCAGGAGCGUGUCUUUUGCUUUCUCUGUAGAUACGUGGACUUCUUAUUUCACAGGUUUUUUGUAUAUUACGAGAUCCUUUUGAGUAUAUAUCCAACAAUAAUGUUUUUGCAUGGCGUUAUAGCGAAACCUUGUGGCUAGUUGAAUCAUCUAUGCAGUAACUUGUCUACCUCACUAAACAUUUCAGCGUCAUGAAGUGAAUGCCUACUUUCCUUUUAGGCCUGUUUUGGAGUUAUGUUUACCAUUUUCAAGUGCAAAUUAACAACUCCAAAUUACUACUUGCUUGUAAAAUUACAGUUGAUAGAAGACUUAGAAACUCCUGCUUUCCUCUUUCUCCUUAAAUUCGCAUGAAGUCGUAGGAAUUACACCUUUCCUUUUGUGUCUCAAGCUAACUUAUUUCCUCUCUUCUUAUUCCCCCACCCCACUCUUUUUUUUGAAUAAUGAAAAAAUAGCUCCUAAUCCGAAUAAAUCUGUAGUAAUUAUACAAUAGAAGACUGGUCGUCAUGAGUCAUUGCUUAUAUCUUCCUUUUUUUGUUUUUCAUAUCAUAUAGUAUCACAAGCUGGCAAUGGAUCAAUUUGAGAUAGACACGCUUUCGGUGGUUAAUUCACUUCUGUUAUCUAUAAGCGAGAAGGACCUUCUGCACGUCAAGUCUGGUUUAUGUAAUGCCAGCUGCAUCAGAUUUUCCUUGGUGAAGCUUCUGAGGCUUUCUGGUUAUGAUGCUGGUGUUUGUGCAGCCAAGUGGCCUGGCAGUUCCAAGGUUCCUGGAGGUAUAAUCUUGUUCUAAUUUCCAACAUGCAUUUAUAUAGUUGACAUCCAAGAUUUGAAAUUUCAAAAUGUGUUGGAGGGUUUUCUAAGGCAUCUGUAACAUACAACAUACAUCUUGCCUUCUGCACUGAUUCUUGCUAAGCUGGUUGCAUUGUCCAUUUCUCUUACUGCCUUCUAAUUGACAGUGAAUGAAACUCUCCUGUGGUUUGCUGCCAAUGCCUACGAACCUUUUCAUGAAGAAUUUAUUUGGUAAUAAAGCUGGUUCGAUAACACGUGUUUUUCCAUUCUGGUAUUCAGGGGAUCAUGAGUACAUCGACGUGGUUAACUACACGAAUGCUGGAAGCUCAAGCUCUGAACGUCUGAUAAUUGAUAUUGAUUUCCGUAGUCACUUUGAGAUUGCUAGAGCUGUGGAGUCCUAUGAUAGAAUGUUGAAUUCACUUCCUGUAGUUUUUGUGGGCUCUUUGACAAAGCUGAAACAGUUCCUUCAGGUUAUGGUUGAAGCUGCUAGAUCUUCUCUGAAGCAGAAUUCAAUGCCUUUCCCCCCUUGGAGAUCUCUUCCUUAUUUGCAAGCUAAGUGGCAGUCUCCCUAUCAAAGAAAGUUUAGUCCUGAGGAACCCAAUGCUUAUGGAGGGUCUUCUAUGGAGCAUAAACAGUGUGGUGGACAUUUGAGGAGACUGCAGUCUGAGCUUGAAAUUGAGCGACUGUUGAAGCCUGUGAAGAGCAAUAAUUGGAAGCCAAAGCCUGACAAUAGGUGGAGGCGCUCCUCGUAUAUGACUCUUUGACAAAUAAAUUCUGGAGGCAGCUAGGGAGUGUAAGUUCUUGCCUGUUUGCAGACCUGACUUGGUAUGUGAAAGAGGUGCUAUGGCUUUCCUCGUUUUGAGAACCAAUUUUGAGGAGAUUCUCUGGGUAGAGUUAGAAGAAGCAUUCUGCAAAAAAGAGCAGAGGAUAUGAUAUAGUGGUAUUUAGAUGAAUUUACACACAGUAUUAGAAUGGGAACAUUUUAUCCUACUCCCAUCUAAUAAUGGCGCCCUAUACAUUUUAUCUCAUUCUUUGUGCUCCAGAAGAAAGCAAGAGCGUCAGGUUCUGGAUGUGGUGCAGGUUCUCUCCAUCAUCAACUGCAUUUGCAUCCUGCGAGCUGAAAAUGCUCGCUGGUGGAGCAAGUUUUCUGUUUUGUUGGUUGUCUUUUUAGGGUCUUUUUGCCUCCUUGGAAGGCAAAUUUUGCUCUCUUCUCUUCUGCGGGUUUCCACUUCAAUUGUUAAUUUGAGCUGCUUGUAUUGGUCAUGUUAAGCUUUCUCCGGUGGUCAAAUGAUUUUUUUGACCGUAUCCAUGCUACUUGCUUUCUGUUGCUGCAAAUUGCAAUCAAUCAGUCCCUUUCAUUUUAUUUUAUUUUAUUUUAUUUUACUACAUUAAGGGACUGGAAUAUGUGUUACAGAUUGUAGUGAUGGGAAAUGACUUCGGAUAUGGCAAUUCCCUCACUUGGGGGAACCCUUUAUGGGGCAUUUCCUAAUAUGUAUGGUUACCACUGGGCAAGUUUCGAGCAUUUGAUUAAAAGCGUUUUACAAUUUACAAAAAAUAGCUACACUAAUGUCUAAGGCGAGCCCAACUAGGUUUUUACACAGAGGAUAAACCAGGACUGACAUUUGACCUUCGACUAUGUGCAUCAUAUGUUACAGAGAAGGGAAAUUGAAAGGAAAAAUUGACAUUUCACCACCAACUACAUGGAUAAUGACCAGUUAAUGGGCAACCAAUUCUGCGGAUAUAUUAAGACCCUGUAAAUCUCUUUAUCAUCUUACACAGUUGGAUGCUUUAUGGAUCAAUGCCUAUCUAGAAAAGAAAAACAAUUUUUUUUUUUGUUUCUGAAAAAAUAGGAAGGAAUUUACUAAAUCCAGAUGCAAUAGAGGGCUGCAGGUAAGAUGUAGGUUUUGCCUUAAAUGGAGAGUUAAAUUUGACGAAUUAAGAUGUGGAACGUUUUGUUUUGUUUUGUUUUUUAUUUUCUAGCCUGUUGGACAUGUAUGUGGACCUGAAAUUGUCACACCAGGCACGCAAUGGUCUGUUAAGCCCUUCGGCGUCGGACAGCGCACAGGAUGGGCCAAAAGCUGCUAGUCCAACACUCAAAAAUGGAGGCCGAAGUGGACUCUGAAAAGUCUCAAGACCAAACACGAGGAAAGUCUAGAUUUAUCGUACAUCAUUUAACAGCCCAUGACUUGUAUACCACCGUAAUGCUCAUCUAGAAUUUUAGAUUACGAUAUGGCUUCUCCAACCAAUUCAAUAUUGCCAAGUUUGAUCAAGAUUUUUUUAUUUCUAUCCAAAAUCGAGCAAUUCACUCUUCCUACGCAGCAUCAUAAGAUUCCCAUCGUUUUCUUCGCGUCGCCUUCUUGCUGUCCACCUGGACGGCAUUUUCUUUGUUUACUUUUAGAUGAGUCAAGAGAACAAUAAUAAUAAUAAUAUCCUAACCUAUUGAGUAUUGCGGAAAACGCGCAGAAUAUUUGAUGAUUGAUGAGCUACUAUGCCUCAUCUCAUCACAUACUAUUACUUUUCCUUUCAAACCCGUGGUCUCACUUCGUCACCCAAGCUUAAAGGUCAGCCUCACGAACGUUCCAACUGAACGGACAAAACAACUGGUCUUGUCUGAAACAGAUCAAAAGUGCUGGUAUAAAACGCCGUAGCCAAAUCCAACAUGCACCAUCCCUCCUGAUUAAAGUAACACAUAGGAACUAGGGAGGUAGAAGUUAGACCUGGAACCCAUCUCUCCUUCCUGUAUAUCUAUCUCUGUUCCCUAUUUACAUGUAUAAUAACAAUAACAGAAAUAUGGAGAUGUCCAAGAGGACACAAUCUUCGGCCAUGGCCAUCUUUCUUGUGUUUGCUCUUUUUAUCCAACAUUUCUCAGCAGUGCAAUCGAUAGGGGUUAACUAUGGUACCGUUGCAGACAACCUUCCGCCACCGGCUCAAGUUGUUCAAUUCAUCAAAGACAAGACCUUCAUAGACCGCGUGAAGAUAUUCGAUGUCAACCCCGAUAUCAUCCGGGCCUUCGCCAACACCGGAAUCUUGCUCACCGUCACGGUCCCCAACGGAGAGAUCCCCAACCUCACCAACAUCAGAUACGCUCGCAGAUGGGUGAAUGAGCACAUCAAGCCAUUCUACCCGCAAACCAAAAUCAACUACAUCGCUGUAGGAAAUGAGGUCCUCCACUGGGGACCCCAGAAUCUGAUCGACAACCUCGUUGCUGCCAUGAGAACCCUUCACCAGGCUCUCGUCAAGAAUGGCAUCACAGAUGUAAAGGUGACGACACCACAUUCUCUAGGCAUUCUCGAAUCUGCUAAGCCGCCCAGCCUGGCUAAAUUCAGGCCUGGUUGGGAUGUAGGUGUUUUGGCACCCAUGUUGCAAUUUUUACGCGAAACCAAGUCUCCUUUUAUGGUCAAUCCGUACCCGUAUUUUGGUUUCGACCCCAAGGAGAUUGACUUCGAUCUCUUCAGACCAAACAGAGGAUAUUACGACAGGUUUUCCAAGAGGAGUUACACGAACCAGUUUGAUUUGCUGUUGGAUGCGGUUUUUAUGUCAAUGAAGAGACUGGGAUAUGCGGAUGUGGACAUUGUGGCAGCCGAGACGGGUUGGCCAUCUCAAGGGGAAACAUUUGAGCCACAAUGCACUCCUGCUAAUGCUGCUGCGUAUAACGGAGGAUUGGUGAAGAAGUACAACUCUGGGAGCGGGACUCCAUUGAUGCCGCACAGGAAGAUUGAGACGUACAUCUUUGCCUUGUUCAAUGAGAAUCAGAAACCGGGUUCGUUGGCUGAGAGAAGCUGGGGAUUGUUCAGGCCUGAUUUUACUCCUGUUUAUGACGUUGGAAUUAUGCGGGGGGGACAGGUAUGAAAUUCGGACUCUUAUAACUAUUAUUGCCUUAAUUAUGAAUGAAGUACUUUUGCCGUCUCUUGAAUUUGAUGUCUUUUCAUAGAUGCCCUUUUUACUAGUACUCCGUCCACGCCUUACCAUAAUGCAAUUAGAAGAUGAAUUGAAAAUCACCCAAUAUCUGCAUUUAAUUUAUAUUCUCCCAGUCAAGAGCUAAGACAACAAUAAUGGUUGCAUUGCAUGAGCAUGCAUUAAUUCUGCUAUAAUCAAUCCUUCAAAUACCAGUCCUUUCACUGAAGAUUGCCCAUUGAGAAUGAAUUCUGGUAAAGUUCCUCCCUUUACUUUAAACACAGCAUUUGUCUGUUUUGUUAUUGGAAUCUUCAAAAAUUAGGCCGACAUUUGAACACGGAACACGAAGCAUCGUUUGUCUGUUUUGCCUUUAGGCUUUAGGAGGAGUAGGGACACCGCAUUUGAACUUUUAUCCCGUUUCAACCUCAUAUGUUUGACAAAAUUACGGGAUAGCGAAAUGUGAAAAAUAGAGGAGUGUGGGGCUCUGGCGAAGGCUACAUCUGUUCCGCGUUGGACUGCUCCGAUUUCCGCGUUGAACCUUGGGACGAUAAAUGAUUCUUCUGACGAAGAUUCAUUGGUGAAAUUUCAAAUCCAUAAAUGACUAAAUAAAUAAAUAACUGCAUCAUCCAAUUAAUUAAACUUUGCAUGUUGUAGUGGUACUAAUGCGAAGCAGAAGACAACUUAUUAGGCUGGAAAAUUUACUAACUGAAAAAAAAAAUGUUUGAAUUAGCAGAAGAAAUUUGAUUCUUCUACUUUGUGGAAUGUUAGAGUCGGAAUGGUUCUAAUCCUCGAUGCCCUCUCUAAAAUGAGUCAGACAGGAAUCUUGUGCUAUAAUAUUGCCUUUAACCCUUUCCACCUUUACACUUUUGCUUUUUUUUUUUCUUUUUUUUUUCUUGGAUGGACCAGUCGGCUAAAUCUUGUCCCAUUUUCUUUUGACCUUCAGAAACAGCAAUCAGAAAUCACCCGAGUACUCUACAGUCUCCCCAUUCAAAGAAAACACUAGUAUAGUAGUGCAUCAUCUUUUUUUCAUUCUGCUGUAGUUAUUUGCUUAGUUGAAAAGAAGACGUAGGAGUAUUACGGUGACCAUAAAAUUAAGCUCGGCGGUGUGAUGAUGAAUUUAAUUUUGCAGUCGUCACAGCCAGUUCCGGUGCCAGGAGCACCGGCAUUGCAGGGCAAGGAAUGGUGCGUGCCAAAGGCAGGGGCCACAGACGCCGCACUGCAGAGCAACAUAGAUUACGUUUGCAGCCAGGGCUUAGAUUGCAGCCCGAUUCAAGCCGAGGGCGCCUGCUUCAAUCCCAACAAUGUGAGGUCUCAUGCAGCUUUUGUGAUGAACUCAUGGUACCAAUCCAAGGGCAAAGCUGACUAUAACUGUGAUUUCUCUCAAACCGGUUUCCUCACCUCUACCAACCCUAGUAAGUCCCUCUAUUUUUAUUGCUGCAACACAAUUUUCCAUCUCAAUAUAUACUUCCCUCUGAUCAGCAGUUUACCAUUCGUGGAUGGUACUUAGAAUGCUUCGUCUCUGGUUUUUGAAUUUUCAGGUUAUGGCACAUGCCAAUACACCAGCUAGGAUAUCAGUAAUUUGCAACAGGAAGGAGCUGCUGCAUGGAUUUAUACCAAAAUGGCAUCUAAUUUAUUGGGUUCUCCAUUGUUUAUUCAUCUGAUCUCUUAGUCAAUCACUUAAUUAACCUCAAUAUUUAUGUCCGUUCUGUUAAGUAUUGUAUUGGACGAUUCUCUGCGAUAUAGAGUUGUGUGCCGGCUGCGUGCAUGCCGAAAAUUGUACCAUAUCAUAACUUACUUGUAUUUUAUAUGUGUCAGAAUCCGGGAGCUGUUUUUUUCUUUUGUUUGCUUUUCAAAUGUCGUUAACUUAUAGAUUUUGGUCUUCAAUUUUGUGUAACGAAUAACUAAGUGGGCGUUAAGAACUAAAGGUGGCCCCCGACAGAAGAUAAGGUGCUUAGGAUUCUCUCUUUUUCUUAAAGCAAAUUCUUCAUUUUGAAGUUGGCAUCCAAUGCUUCUUUGAUUAUCUGUAUGCAUGAGUGCAUGCAUGCAUGUGGAUGUAAUAUAUGGAACAAUUAAUGGAGUCUAAAGUUCAUCCUGCCUCAAAAAAUAUAUAUUAGCAGAGAAUCAAGCUCUCAAAGAAUAUAUACCCAAAACAACCAAAAAAAGCAAAAAAGGAAGAAGAAAACUUGGGAUCUAUAAUUACUCACUGAACCGCUACUGUUGCAAAGUACCUCAAAAAAAGAGAGGAUGUUGGGGGGGGGGGGGAAGGUGGGGGGAUGUGAAAGCUACACCUGCAAAAUUUCAGUGGUGAAGAAAAUAACUCCAAACAACACCAAUCCUAUUCACGCCUUAACCUUGACGUCCAGUGCAAAAAUAUCUUUGACGACUUGGGCUUUGUCAGCCUGCAAUUGUGGAUCCCCAUUAUUGUCAAUCUUCAAUUCUGCAAAGAGGAGCUGUAGAAGCUUAGUUCUGUUUGCCACGAGAAUCCCAACAAUCUCUGGGGUCUUGUUUUCAUUGGCAGCAAACAACUUGAAAACUCGAAGCGCAUCAACUUGAAUGUUCUUGCUGGAGUCCCUGAGAAGAUUCAUAAAAAUCCUCAAAUUGUCCCUCGAACUAACAUAUUGCAGCAUGACAUCUGAAUUUGAGCGAUGCAUCAGCAUCUCUCCCAGCAACUUCACGGCUUCCCUUCUGGUAAGGUAAUUCGGAGAUUGAAGCAACUUAGAGUUGUAUUCCACAAAAAACCAAUCAUAAUUUUUGGACAGGAACUCGGCCACAGUUGAUUUAUGCCUCGUUAACAAUUGCUUAAAAGUUUCCGUAGCGUCAGCAGCAACUUCAAAACGUGCAACUUGUACAUAAUCGAAAAAUUUCUUCAUCAUUAGCUUCGAUUCCAAGACAUGCCUUGCAAGAUCUUGAUGGCGUAUGCAAUCCCUUAGCAUAGAACCAUAAUGCAAAGCCGUGAUCUCCAUACCAUUAUUCUCAUAACCACCAACCAAAACAUCGAUUAAGUUGAGAUUUUGUUCCAAAUAAUCACAAGCAAUAAACCUCGAACGGACCUUUUGCCUAAGAAAAUUUGAAACCAGUAGCGUAGCAUCCUUGCGGGUCUCCAGUUUCAACUUUGGAAGACAAAUAAUUAGAAGGCGCAAGGUAUCUUCCCUGAAGAACUCCUCGGUCAAUUGCGCACAAGCUGAUGCUACGGGUUGAGUAUCACUAUCUCCAUAAAGAAUGAACUUCAAAUCUUCCAAUAGCUUGCCGAUGGUAUUUAUCAUAUUUACUUGGCGUUUGUUUUGGCUUUGGCUUUGGAAAGUGUUUGGCGCAGAAUUGACAUGGCUGAGGAGAUCACGAGUCUGUCGAACUAGGUCAGCAGGGGUAGCCUUAGGUUUCGACUUAAAGAACAAAACACCCUUCAUAAUCUUUUUCAGGCUUUUUCUCGUCCAACUCCUAAUGUAAAAGAUAACUCAUACGUACCCUGAAUAUGAGAAUCUCCUUGGCAGUUGGCACUACCGCAAGGGCAGAGGACGCUCAACGCGGCGGCGCUGCUGCUUUCUCCAACUGGCCAAUUGCAAUGUCCUACUCCUGCUUAUUUACCCUUCUAACUACUCGUAUUUGUAGUUUGCAAUUGUGAAAAUUUUAGAAUACGAUUCCAAUUCAAUUUCUGUUGUCGUAAAGAACUAAAGCAAGUUCAAGAAAAACAUUCUUGGAAACGGAGACGUAACUGGUAAUUAGUAUUGCCAAGUUAAAUACUAUAUACAUAGGGGAGGAUUGUUAUGGUUUUUCCGAUUAGGUUUCUGAUCUUGAUAAGUAAGGAUAAGAAGGAAGUGAGGAGGGGUGAGAGGGUUAAAAAAAAAAAAAGAUAAAUACAUACAGGAUUUGGAUUGAAUUCUAAAUUAAAUCCAACUGCCAAAGUCAAAUUUACACUACGAAUCAACAGGUAGAUGAAGAUAAGUAUAAAACAUGCAUCAUUAUACGUUACGUUCUCUAAAAGGAAAAACACAAGAUCUUAUAGUAUUUUGGAUUGAACCAAUGUAGCAAUUAAGCAGGAAGAACGAGGGCCUAUUACUUCUGCAGCAGGAAGGGAAGCAUCAAAGCCAUAUAAACCCGCUAACUAAACUGCAUUAAUUUUACAAGCCCCAUAUACGAAGGAAGAGUUUGGAAACAGGAAUUGGACAACUACUCAAAUUCUUGUAUCUUGUGCUCGGCUCUCAUUCCUUCCCUUGGAGCCGGGAGGCCAUAUCUUUGGCAUUCCAACUUCCUCUCCAUGUGCUCUUUAAGGACCUUAACGACCAACCCGAAGGACAAAAACACCACACACGCACGACCAAAAACCUACUAUAUAUAAUUUGCAGCUAAUUUGAAAGUUCAUAGCAUAUCUUAAAUGCAUUGCUGCAGAUAGAUAGGUAAAUGAUUCAUUUGCUUCUAUUUUCUAGUCUAGAGAAGAGAAAAGUUUUGAAUUCAAUUUUUACUCUGACCUAGCUAGCAGGUAGGAAACUUUUGGUAAUUAAACACAAUUGCUUGUAUUCAUUGCUAGCCAAUAAAAAGUGCUGAAAGUUACUAUGCAUGGCUAACUCCGACAUUUUCUUGUUCUUGUUACAAUUUGACGAUUAGCCAGUUUCGAAAGUAGUUCUGACUAAGGUUGAACUCAAGGUGAUAUCAGUUACAACUAUGAGAGUUGAAUAAAUUAGUUAAUAAAAAAUUAAGCAAAUCUCCGUCUUGACUAACACUAACUAUUGUUUUCUGCUUUAAAUUGGGGUGGGUCGAAGCUGAAACUGGCUGUCAGACACAUAUCAAUCUUCGAUCUGAAUAUAAAAGAGCUGCAAUUAGCCAAUUACCAAGUCUGCAGUCCAUUAUAACGCAAUCCCUCCAUCUUAGGGUAGUUUCUUGAUUUUCUCCAUCUCAUCAUAAUACGAACAACGACCUAAUUGAAAAUGGUCUCACAAUUAAACAUUUUAUAUACUUGUACUUUUCUAGUGAGUAAGCUUUCACAUUUUUUAUACUUAAUUUAUCAUAUGAACGUAAGCAUUCACAUUUUUUUUUAGGACAAAAAACCUGAGCGGCCACUAAACUAUUGGUCAGAUCAUGUUUUGGCCAUCAAACUAUUUUUCGUCAAUAAUUGGCCACUAAACAACUUAAUCAGUAAAUCCGUGACCAUUUAGUCAAUAAUUGCUCUUAAUCUAUGAAAUUAGCAGUACACGUUGCAAAGCACAGGGGUAAUUUUGUCUAACAACUACGCGACUCUAUUUCACAGAUUAACUGUUAAUUUCAUAAAUUAAGAGUAACUAUCAACUAAAUGGUCAUGAGUUUACUGAUUAAGUUGUUUAGUGGCCAAUUACUGACGAAAAAUAGUUUGAUGGCCAAAAUAUGAUCCGAUCAAUAGUUUAGUGGCCGCUGAGAUUUUUUACCCUUUUUUUUUUAUUAAAACGAUAACAUUCUUAUAAUUUAAUCUAUCAUAAUUUAGGGAGAGGGAAAGUCGAUGGGAAUAGAAAUUCUAUCGAAGGAAACCACUGAAAGCAGUCACAUAUAGUGGUAAUUUGGUGAGAGGCAAGAGUUGGAUUCUUGACCUCCCAGCACCACCAAAAUUACCAAAAUUUAAAUACUUGGCAGUGACCACAAGGCCGAAGGACUGGUUCUCCGAAUUACAUGAUAAUCCUUUUUUCCCCAGGAAUUGAUUUGAGGGUAACUGCUUUUACUGUAUCGGCUAUCGGUAAGCGGUGAGUCCGAAGAAGAAGCUCAUGCAGUCCGUUGGGCUGUCGCUCUACGACAAUCUGGAGAUGCUUAAACAGAGCAAUUUGAAGGCCAUCUAGGCCACCUUCUUGAUCAAGUUUCUUGGAUUAUCGUACACAACGAUUCAGAAUUAAAUGACUUUUGGCCCAUGGGAAGUUGUCACUUAUCAUUCCUGUGACAACAACAUAAGUUUGCUUGGUGUCAUUAAUACGGCCCACCACAAACAUUAGCUUUAAUAAAUCGAAGGUUGCGAAAGAAAGGCGAAAUCCAUUGCCCAUAAAAGACAUGCCAGAGUUUAUAAUAAGUAAUAACGUGUCCUGUGGCCCCUCUACUGUCUACGAUCAAGAUGUUACUACUUUUUGGUUGGUCUUCCCAAUUGAUGGAAUAUCUUUUCUGGCGAAAUCAUUUAUGCAUCUGGUGCCUUACGAAUUAAACAACUUUGUUUGAAGUCUCAAGAUCUGUGGGUUGGCAAUGGCGUUAUGCCACCAUACAUCCCUUUCAAAUCUUAUUCAUACAUGGCGUAGAGUAUCAGUACUCAAUGAAGCACUAAAGUAGUUCUUCUUCCACUUGUGUGUGCAUCAAUAAUGUUUCGUUAUACACACACACACAUAUAUAUGUAUAUAUGGAUACACAUUUGUACAUAGAAUAAGAUAUCCCAUGAACCAAUUUAAGACAUCACCUACUAAAAAAUUAAAUAUUUUAAAACAUAAAUAAAUUUUAAAAUUAUAAAUUCAAACAAAUAAAUUCAUUUCAAUCGUACCUACUAGGAGAAAAAUCUUAAAUCCUACACAAACCACAAUCAUAUUCUAUAAUUAAACAAAAUGCAUUGAAACUCUUGAAAUUAAACAAACUCUAGUAGAACUACAAAAGAAAAUGGCGAUCUUUGAGUCUGAAGGUGAGAAAUAGAAGGAGUUUGAUUACUCUUUUAGAAAUUAGGGUUUCGAAGAAAAGAUUCGAUAGAUAAGUUUAAUGUUUAAAACUUUAGGUUCAUUUAAAACAAAAAGAUGGAAAAAAUGAAAAAUCGUGGUUCACGGAUCAAUUCGAGUUAAACAGUUUGAUCGAUUUUUAGCAAUUUUGAUCGAUUUUUUAUAAUAAGUCAACACUAGUAGUGAACUGAAUCGAAAGCUUGAGCAAUUCUUAGUCCCAUCGGUCAAUUCGGUCUGAUUUUCAAAACAUUGGUAUGUAUAUGCAAGACGUGGAAGUUAUUCUCCUUUGUUUUAACCUUUUUCAAAUCAUUAAAAAUUAGUCCUGAAAAUAUAUAGAACAUUAAGAGCGUAUUUAAUCAUUAAUUACUAGGAAAAAUGUUGAAGAAAAUACCGGAAAAAAAAAAACUAGUUUCUAGCUUCUACAAAGCCAAGACGGAUUAAAUUGGACAGCAAGUAGUAUGGUGGUACGUGUACCUUAGAAAACAAAAAACACGCGCAGACACCCCAUAUGGUAUAUGGUGGUGGUCCUAAUGUUUUCGACAUUCGACUAGAUGGCAAUUACCUUAAUAAGAUAUCCAUAAUGGUGGUCCUAAUCCUCAGUAACUGCGCGUAUACCAAAUUAAGAGUGCUAAUAAUCAUUUGUGACCCCGAAAUCUUUAACCGCAUAUGCUGCUUCUGGUGUCUAUUUAUUAACAGCAUGACCUUUUUUUUUAAUUAUUUUGCUCAAGAAUAUCGGGAAGUGAUUCAAAUGCUCCACCAGUGCCUUCAGUCCAACAAUUUUUUGGUUUGCGAGUUCAGUGAGAAAAGCAAAAAGAAAAUUAAAAUGCUGAAGUUAGGAAAGAAGAGCAGCACUUUCAGGCCUUUAAAUGCUCAUCCUCAAUCUCUCUCAUUUCUCUCUGCUUUUUGAGAGAGAGUUUUCUUAGAUUUUCAUCUCUAUAUUUUUCUCAAUUUUUAUUCACUUAAAACUCUCAAAUGAGGGAAAUGUGCUAAUUUCUCUAAUUUUGUCUCGUCUUCUCUUCAUCUCCUUCCUUCCAAACAAAGUGCUUUGUAAAUAACCAAAUAAAAAAUACGAUAAAAAGCAAAAAGGGAUGCCAAACCCUCGCACGUAUUUAUAUUAAGAGCUAGGGAGCUAAUUUUAGCACUUCCAUACUUGUAAUUGCCACUUCUGUUGAUUCUAGUAUUCGUGUAAAAUAAUUAUUUUUUUUUUAUAUUUACAUUCCACCCAACUUACCUUAGCAUUGCACAUAUUUAUAUUUGUUAUAUUCCCUGUAUUUAGAUUUUUUUUUUAUAUUAACUACAUUGUUGAAAACAAAAACAAAAAAAAAAAUCAUUUGAACAACAACAUAAGAGGAAAAAGUAAUUGUGUGCGGAUGUGUUUUUUGUAAUUGAAAGAUCGGGGAUAUUCUUCUUUUUAUUACAUCUGAUAAAAGUCUUUUUUUCUUUUUAAUUUUUUGAAGAGCCGUAUUUAACCAACAUAGGAAUACCAAAAUAUCAAAUUUCAUUAAAAUGGAUUAUUAUUUUGAAUAGAAGUCAAGGAGAAGUAAAACUAAAAGUGAUAUAAUAAGUCUCAGAACUAGAUGGAUAAUAAGAAUUUUAUUUUCUCCACUAAAGUAUAGCUAACUUCAUUGGUAUUUCACCUAGUUCAAAUCAGGGAAAACAGAAGAGAAGGAGCGGGAGUUAGGAAUGGUGCGCCAUGAGCAGGUGGAGUUUUUUGGAAAAUUUGGGUUGAAGGCUUAAUUUGUUGGGUUCUUUUUUCUGACUAGUUUGCUGGGUUUAAUGGUUUGGUGUAUUGUCUUUUGUCCACAUUUUUGUUGGUUUUUAAUACCCUCAUAUUUGCAUUGGAGAUAGUUAAGUAUGAUUGAUUUUAUAGUCUUUUUUGCUUAUUGAAUUCUAAUAGCAUAUAUUGAACAUUUAAAUACAAAAAAGCAUGCGGUGCUAAACGGUAGUUAGCGAUAGCGUGCGAUGUUGUGUGUGCAUUUUAAGCGUUGGAUUGAAACUAAGCGUGCAUUUGCAUUUGCAGAGAGGGUUAACCAUUGGUUAGUUUAAUUCUCAUCACAUUGAACUUAUCCAGUAGACAAUUAAUUUUAAAACUAUGUCAAAUAGAAUUAUGCUCUUAAUAAUUUAGUAAUCUCAUAUAUCUGUUUGAUUGAUGUAGCUUUUGACUGCACGUAGUUUUUGGUUAGUAAUUUUAUUUUAGAAAUUGUACAAUUAGAUUGGGUACAUGUCUCUCUAUAAAGUUUUGCUCUUCUCUUUCUUUUGGAAUUGUGUGUGUGUAUAUAUGUAUGUAUAUAUUAGAGGUAUUCUAUAUCGUAUUAGUAAAAGAUAGUGGCUUACUGAUUACUGAAUACUAUUUCAUUACAUUUCAUAAAUUACAUCCAAAUCAUUAACCAUCAAACACAUUCCAGCCGCAACGUGAGCCCCCUCAAACUAUUCCAUCAAUCGAGCCAGACAACGCGAACUUCAAUUUUCGUGCUCCUCCUUGUUGUAAAUCCCAAACUUCAAUUUUCGUACUCGUCCUUGGUGUAAAUCCCAAUCAAACGAGUUACAUUACAUCUCUUGCUAACGUAUUAUUCACAUCACAGAUUCGCAAUUGCGUUUUUGACUUUAGUCAUCGAUUUUUUUUUUAAUUUUUUUUUUGGAGUCCACAAAUUCAGUGUACCAGAAACCAACAAUAAAGAGCCAAAAGAAAAAAAAGAGAGAGAAACCAACAAUAAAUUAUGAAGUACUCCCUCUGUCCUACUUUGAUAGUUCUGUUUCUUUUUUCGCACAGGUUAAAAAAAAGUAAAUUUAGAUUGCUAUUUUUUUAAAAUACUCUCAUAUUAAAUAUGGUACAACUUUAUGAAAACUUGAAUUGAUGGUAAAAAAAGAAUUAAUUCUCAUUAAAUGGGAUAGGUUUAUAGUAACAACUACUUACAUUGAAUAAGGGUAUUUUAAGAAAAUUAAAAUAUAACUACAUUCUUCAAUUGAAAAGUGGACUGUAAUUUGAGACAGAUGAAAAAAGAAUACAAGACUAUCAAAGUGGGACGGAAGGAGUACACAGAAGAGUCACCAAACUAGUAAUAAUUGUUGGACGAUAAAGUUUAUAAAAGUGGACUUUCCUUUUAGAUAGUAGAAGAAGAUACUGCCAUAUACCAUCUCAAUAAAAAAUACGGAUAAAGGAAAAGGUGUAGGAUUAGCUACAGAGUAUAACAUAUCAUCAAAAGUUGAAGAUUGGUUGCUAGUUAUCAUUUCGCAAAGACCAAAAGCAGUCCAAUCCACCAUCAACGCCGCUUCAACCACUCCUCCUCCUCCUCAUCCAUGGAAGAAAAAGAGAAAAAGAAGAACAAGAAACCAAAACACCAGCACCCGAAUGAUCAAACCUCCAAAUCCACCACCUCAUCAGACCUUGCUGCAUUCAAGCCUAGCUCUGAAGUUAAAGGGCUUCGGUUUGGUGGCCAGUUUAUUGUUAAAUCCUUCACAAUCCGGCGCGCUAGGCCUCUUGAAUUCUUGCGCCUCCUCUCACUUCCACCGACACUCAACCUCAACCACCAACAAAACCAAGAAAAGACAAACGGGAAGCAGCCUUUUCCUUCAACUACCGCAUUCUUGCCGACAAAUUUCACGAUCUUGGCUCACCAUGCAUGGCACACUCUGACGCUUGGCCUUGGGACAAAGAAGUCUAAAGUGGUUGUUUUUGUAUUCGAGUCUGAGAAUAUGAAGGCUGCUGUGGACAGAGUUUGGCCGCCAGAAAUCCCACUCGGUGAAGUAAACAAGAAGCUUAUAAGGGGUCAGACCGGAUGCGAAAUGGCUAGAUUUAAAUUCAGGAAAGGUGCCAUUACAUUUUAUGUUUAUGCAGUGAGGAGAAUUGGGAACAUGGGUUUUUCAUUUGCGGAUGAUCUGAGGACAAUACUGCAAUCUGUGGUUGCACUCAAUGAUUUCUUGGAUCAUACCGCUAUGCUUGCCUUGCCUAAUCAGAGAAGCAUCAAUUAUUCACCUCCUGUUGCCAUGGUUCACUAGGCAUGUUUCUUUCCAUGAUCUUUUCUUUAUCCGUUCCUCUGAAGACUACCAUCCUUUGUUGUCUUUCUUCUUCUUCUUCUUCUUUUCAUGCUUUUAUUGGAAAAAUACUAGUUUUAUAUCUUCGGGGUGGGCGGGAAUUGAUUAAUUUUUUGGGGGAUUUUAGUUUUCUGUAUCUUUCUUGACUGUAAACUAGCAGAAUAAAUUGCAGGUUUUAGAGGUGAACUAAAGACUUUGUAGUUACUUUUUCCUUUUCUCGUGGGCUAGAAGAAUUUUUGUACUUGUGAACCUGCCAUAUCUAUAAACAAUGUUCAUAAGUCCACGUUCCUGCUAAGAGAUGCGUGAUUAGACCUGCAUAAAUUGCGAGUGGAUCAGUUUCUUCAGAUCUCAACAAAUUCACUUCUUUCGAAUUUUUUCCCUUUGAGCAAGCUCAUGAGAUCAAUGCCAAUCUUUUGCAAAAGAAAAUAAAAAAAAAAAAAAGAACUGCCAAUUAAGUUGGUGACCAAAGCUGAUGAAUGAUGUGCAGACUAUACUAUAGGACGCUUGUUGUUGUGUAGUCUCAAGUACUUGGAAUUUAAUCGACCAGGGGCCUUACUUGCUCUGAAAUUAAUGUCAAGUAUUGAUUAGGUGCAGAAUGCAACAAAAGCUACCAAAAAAUCGUGGGGCCAAUAAUCUAAUUAACAAGUAGUGUAUGCAAGAAACUACAAAUUUUUGUGUUGGAACGGUUCAAUUUUCUAAUCAUAAGCAUCAAUUUUCAGUGUACUUCAUAUCUUGAGCAUAUGCUUCUGUUUUAGCAGAGGCAAUCAUCGGACAACAGCAGAAAUGUUUGUGGCAUCAAGUUGGUACUUAGCGUUCAUAGUUAAUUAAGAGAUAGUUCUCAUAAACUUGAUAUAGUGUAUAUCUUAUGGUGUUUGCAUCCAUUGGGAGCAUGGAUUCAUGCAAACAGAAAAAAAUAAUAAUCUAGUCAUUUCAUUCAAUCCUGCGUCAGUCUGAAUAUUGUCCGACAAUGAACACUGUUUUUUUCGUGACUCGAGCAGAGAUCUACCCGUGAAAUGAAAGCCAAAGGCUGAAGUCACAACCCGGUAAAAUUAAUCACUAGACAACAAGUUUUCAGUGUUUAAUAUAGUACUAGUAUUUACUUCUUUACUACUUCAACUGGAAUAACUGCAUUAGGUUAGUAAACGCUUCUCGAAAAGUUAAAAAAGUUCACCUUUUAAGAAGGUGAGAAUCUGCUGUCAACAGUUUCAAGUGGGCGUCGAGUUAGUGGAUGGAGGUAGCUUAAUAGUCCACUAAUUAUGUAAUUUAACCGCAACAUUGCUCUCUUAAUUCUGCUACUUACAUUGCCAAUUAGGCGUGCCAUCCUUUGCUCGACCAAACUAGUUGUUGUUAUGUUUGAAAACAAUUACUGCAACUGAAAUAUUUCCUUCAUUUUUUUCCAAAAAAAAAAAAAACUUUUUAAAAGAAAAAUGUUGUGAAAAACCUUAACAAAGUUAUUGCAAAAAGUGACAGAUCAACAUGGCCAGUAGUCUUCUUCUAGCCAAAAGGGGUUGAACUUGUUAACCUUACGGUGAUUUUGAAGGCAGCAUAAAAUUAGGCAACACGGGAUGAAUGUAUGUUUACGUUACAUGAAUGAUAGCCUCAAGUGCGAAAGGUCAGGAUGUGAUGAUGGGAGAAAGUUAAAGAAUAUGCAGUGUGUACUGUGUACUGUGGAGGGCCGACCAUGGGGGCAUGCAGGAUGCUCGCCCAUGAAUAUUUGCCACUGGCCUUCUUGGAAGGCUUUUAUUUAUGGUCUCUGUUAAAGGUUGGAGAGAAAAGAAGAAGCUUCUUUCGUUUGCAUGUUCCCCCUCUUUACUUUAAUCAUUCGGUUUGUGAAGGCCCAUCUCAUCUCUCCAUCAGCUUUCUUGAUCACAUGAAUUGAGGUGGUCUUUUUUUCUCCCUUGCCGUAGGGAUAAUUUCAGAAACCUCCCUAAGGUUACUGAUAAUUUCAUUGAGCUCUCAUGAGAUUUGAAAAAUUACACAUACCUUUUUUGUUAUUUAAAAUGAUAAUUUUACCUUUAAAUAUUUUAUUGAAAUUCCCUUAUUUGGUAUACUUAUACUUAGAAUGAGUUUUAAAAUUAUUUUUUCAUUCUUUUUCCUCUUUAUUCCUUUUUUUUUAAUUUUUCACCAAUAAAACUGUAGAACUUCCACUAUUGCUUCUAUUUUCUAUUGUAAUCAAAUGUCAAACAAAUGAUUUUUUUGACAAGUUAAUUUUAUAUGUUAUUUAAUAUUUCUGCUGAUCUUUGUUUUCUAUUUUUUGGUACUAAAAUUAACAAUAAAUAAAAAAAAAUGGCCCAAAAUCACCACUAAAUUAUUAAUAAUCCCAUUACCCAAAAAAUUCAUAAACUCUAAAUGAAUUGUUUCAACAUUUUCUUUUCUAUCUUAUAAAUCUAAAUUCAUAAUAAAGUACCAUCAAAAGUAUCCUAUCAUAGUAAUAGAAUUAUUAUUAUAGUUGUUUAUCAAAUAGUAGGUAUGGAUAUGAAAAUUUAGCAUCUUUUCCUUAUAAUUAUACUAGAUAAUCUUAUAAUUGUAUAGGAAAAUAAAUUAAAACUCAUUACACAGGGGCAUUUUUCGAUAUUCAUUUAAAAAUUUGACCAAAUCAAUGUUAUUUUAAGAUUUUGUUACUAAACUAUCAAAUUAAGAGAGGUAAGUGUAAUUUUUCAAAGCUCGGGGGAGCUCAGUGAAAUUAUUAGAAACCUCAGGAGGAAUUUCUGAAAUUAUCCCUUUGCCAUAUUGCCAUGGCUUUCAAUUAACAUAAGGGAAAAUCGUUCAAAACGUUCCUCACAUUUUACAAGAUGACUUUUUUCGUCUCUCAUUUUUAAAAGUGUAAUUUUACGUCCCUUACAAAUUCACAUUGACCAAAUUUAGUCCCUACCUAGGUUUCCAACUAGUUUUUGGUCGGAAUCCACCAUGUGACUUGCAUGUGAUUAUUUUUUAAGGGCAAAAUUGUCAAAUCAAAUUUUUACAUAAUCUGAUUCAUAGUCCCUCACAUUUCACAAAAUGAAUUUUUCAUCCCUAACAUUUUACAAAAUGAGUUGUUUCGUUCCUCACAUUUGAAAAAAUGAAUUUUUCCAUCUCUCAUAUUUUUCAAAAUGAAUUUUUUCAACCCUCAUUGAUCAUGUAUACGAAUAGCUUUUUUUUCUAUAAAUCCACGUAUAUGUCUAUUUGAUUUUACCUGAACAGUAUAAAUAACAUGUAAUUUAUCUCUAUUGAAUUUCAUCUAAACAUGUUAAUCGUAGUUAUACACAUGUUAUUCAAUAGAUAAAUAAAGAUGUUUAAAACUAAUAAUUUUGUUUGAAACCCAUGUAUAUAUUUAUAUGAUUUUACCAUUUAAACCUAUUCAAUAUUUGUGACAUUUCUCUUUUGGUAAUAAUUUAUUUAUUGAGUUGUAUCAUAAGGUCAUCUAAUUAAUGGGUCCUAACUCGAAUUCUACAAUUGUGCUAACAAAUUUCAGUUUAAAUCUGAAAUUUCUACUCGACACUUUUAAGACUAACGGUUGAAUUAUUUGCCUUGUGAUUUUGUUAAAAUUUGAAAGUGCCAAUCACUUAUUUCUUUUUGUCAUACUUUUCUUUUGUUUACUUUUUCUAUCCAAAUUUAAUUUGAUAUAAACACUUGAUAAUAUUUAAGGAUUAAAUGCCUUCUUUAUUUUCAAAUUUUGAGUAAAAGAAAAUGAGUAUAAGUGAAAAACUAAUAAUUUUUUAAACCAAUGUAUAUAUCUAUUUGAUUUCACUUGAACAGUACAAAUAGCAUGUGAAAUCAAAUAGAGAUAUAUUACACACUAUUCGUAUUGCUCAAGUGAAAUCAAAUAAAUAUAUAUAUAUUUUUUAAAAAAUUUAUUCACACACAUGAUCAAUAAAACAUAAAAAAAAUUCAUUUUGAGAAAUGUGAAGGAUGAAAAAAUUCAUUUUGUGAAAUGUAAGGGACGAAAAAAAUUUAUUUUAUGAAAUGUGAGAGACUAUGAAUCGAAUUAUAUAAAAUUUGAUAUGACAAAUUUGCCAUUAAAAUAUGAUUACGUACAAGGCACGUGGUGAAUUCUGACAAAAAACUAGUCGGAAACCUAGGUAGGGACCAAAUUUUACCAAUGUGAAUUUGUAAGGAACGUAAAAUUACAUUUUUAAAAGCGAGGGAUGAAAAAAGUUAUUUUGUAAAAUGUAAGGGACGUUUUGAACGAUUUUCCCUUAACAUAAUUGUGAAAAUGGUGAAAGUUGAGUUGUGUUCGACGAUGCUUCUUUGGUGUUGGGGACCUGGGAUCUCGGCCUUGCAACUUGCCACCCCUGCUUCCUUAUUUCUUUUGAAUUUUUCCCUCCAUCACCCUGCCUAAGUCCUAUCUAAGGGUGUAAAUAAGUCGAAUCGAAGUCGAGUUUUGACUUAAUCGAGCUGAGUCUCUUAUUUAAUUUUAUGAAAUUCAAACUCGACAAACUCAAAAUAUCAAACUCGAGCUCGAGUUCGACUCAAAUUCUAGUCGAGCUCAAGCUUAAAAAAUAAAAAAUAAUAAUAAUUGUUUUUAUUUUAAAAAAUAAAAAUAAUUAUUUUAUUUUAAAAAAUAAAUAAAAUAAUAAUUUUUUUAACAAAUAAUAAAAUAUUAUGGACGUAUAUGUAAUUUUACUAUUAAAAUAAAAAAAUAAAAAUAUACACAAUUGACAUCGCGAGCCAACGAAUUUAAUGUUUUUGAACUCGAGCUCGAGUUGAGCUCACGAGCGGCUCAAUUCGUGUACAGCUCUAAUCCUAUCCAACAAAUCCAAGUAAAACGAACACUACUGAUUUUAAUCCUUUCUUGACAGACGGUGCCUGCAAAUCCAAUUAUCAGUUAAUCACAACAAAUUUUUUACAUGAAUCCACUUUACAAUCUUAUACAUUGUUAAAGGAAAAAAAAAACUUAUUGGACUGCAUAUACAAACAUUCGAGUGCACAUAAAUAUUUGAACCCACCACCAUAUUCAUGUCUUUCUAAAAAUUCCCUUUCAUUAAACAGGACCUUCACGUGUCUACCGUGCAAAGCACCGAUUAAGCAUUCAGCAUGUCCCUCUACGUGAAACCAAUUAUUACACAAUUCGUUUUGCGUGAUCGAAUAAAUAUGCAGGUGGCCUAAUUAAGAUUAACAGUGGUCAGUUGCUUCGAAUCUUUUAAUGAUUUUUGCAAUUAAUUUCUGGACUUAAUGACCUAAAACAGAAUUGAAGUAACGAGUUACGUUUACUUUAAUAUUAUACAAAAUCUUUUUCCUUUAUUUUUCCCUGAAGCAACUGGGAUUGGGAGAAAUAUCUCUGAUUGGCUUUGUGGAGUUGUUUUCAAGAAUAUUUCUAAGAAUCCGUUUGGAUUAUCUAUUUUUGGAUAUGUUUUUAAAAUUUUUAACUGUAACAGAGUUUUUACUUUUUAGAGUAUAUAUUGGGAUAUUUAAGAGUAGUAGAGUUUUUUGAAUAUAUUUUGAAAUAUUUUUUAAACAUUAAAAAAUUUUAGAGUACCUUUUAGAGCACUUUUGGAUUACCAGUUUUUGGGGGUGUUUUUGAAAAAUUUUACUGUAGCAGUGUAUAUGAAAUUUUUUUUGAAAUAUUUAAUAUAUUAUAUGGAUGAAAUGUUUUUUGAAUUAUUGUGUAUUAUUAUAGUAUUGUAUUUCAAAAGCUUGUUUGUUAAAAAAGGCCAAUUCAAACGGAGUUUAGUAUUUGAAAAACUGAUAGAUUCCAACAGAGCAAUUAAAAAAAAUGAAGAAAAUUAAAGAGUUUCUGUAGCAAGCCCAGAUGGCAUUGUUGGGCCGACAUGAGAAGAGGACACAAGUGAAGCAAAUCACUUUUGGACCAAGCAAUGGAAUCCUUUUCACUUUUGGAGUAAGCAACAGAUUGGACUCAUCCUGCAAGGUCCAAUAUCCAUCAGACUGUGGGACUGUGGACGUAAUGAGUAAAUACUAAAUAACUAAGAUUACAUCAUCGUUUCAAAUUUUCCGGGAAAACAAAAUGGAUGAAGAAAACAAAGAAUACACACGCCCACCGUGGGGCUCGAACCCACGACCACAAGGUUAAGAGCCUUGCGCUCUACCGACUGAGCUAGACGGGCUUGUUGGGAAGGUUUGACCUCCAUUUUAAUUUAGUUCAAUGUAAAUAAAAUUCUAAGGGAUUGGAUUUGGGGCUAACUGCUAAGCCGCAGUCUUCUGCACGGUUUUCCAUCAAAUUGGUCGAUGCGUCGAAACUGCCCAAACAGAGGAAGGAAAAUAAGAUGGGAGGAGCUGUGAUCUGGACGGCGUUCGAGGUGCUUUUGAUUGUAGCAAUAAUGUUAGCAUUUGGAGUAGUUUCUGCUAUGGUCUUGGAAACUUUCCGGAGAAGAUUCAAUCACAAGUAUAGUAUUUGCUCUUUUAUCUUUUGGUUUUUUCUUCUAUACUUCGUCUACCUUUUCCUACCAAGACCUGCGGUGAAUUCGACUUUAAUGUUUCUUAUUCUAAUUCUCCGAUCUUUCUACAGUUAUUCUUUUUUUUUUUUCUGUGGUUGCAUUAAUUUGUGAGCAUGUUAUAUUGCUGUUCGCAGCCACGUUGAAGCUCCUCCUGUUUUCGAGGAUCCUAAUUCGUUGAACCAGGUAAUUUCGAACACACAAAGAUCUCUUGUUCUCUAGGGGAAAGUUACAUUUUAAUGCAAUUUUAUACGGAAAUAGAAGGCUUUUGCAUUAGUUCUUAACUAGGGAGUUGGAUGCUUCUAGCAUGCUACAACUGACUAUCAAUAUAUGGAAACUAUUUAUCAUGACGACUUUAUAAAGUAGAGAGAACUCAUCUGCAACUUAUAGUUCAAUUGUUGUGUCUGUCUCUUCUACUCUUUCCCUUUCCGUUAAUUUCCUGUUGAACUCUAGGAACAUGUUUCAAUUCCUCAGGAUGCAAUUCUGCCGCUAAUUGGGGAGAUUGAUUUGGAGCCAAAGGAAUACUGGUUUAGGGGUCAACAUUACAAUUAUUAUUAUUUUUUUGGGGGUUUGGGGGAUAAGUGAUCAACAUUACGAGCUGAUAGUGGUGUAGUUGUAACUUAAUGAGUCAUAUCUAUGUUCAGUAAAUUGACUAUUAUAUGUCUUCCCUUCCAGGUUCCUUGUCCUCAUAUUUUUGAUUCCGCUGAGAAGUACAUAUCUUUGAUUGUUCCCGCUUACAAUGAAGAAAAUAGGCUUGCUGGAACUCUUGAUGAAACCUUAAAGUGAGCUGAGGCUUAGCAAAUUUUAUUUUACUUGUUCUCUCUCUCUCUCUCUCUCUCUUCCAUUUCUAAUUCCAGUAUUCAUUUUGAGAUAAUUUUUUCUAGUAUUUUGUAUCUUCAAUGGAUGGUAUUUUUGAUUAGUUAUUGGGAAUAUGAAUUGAUCUGAUAUGCAUCAUAACUUUGAUCCUUUUGCUAGUUAUCUUCAACAGCGUGCGGCAAAGGACAAGUCUUUCACAUAUGAGGUAAAAUUAUAGAACUUGUCUGUUUUCUGCAUUUAAAUGUAUGAAGUUGAUUGAUUUUAUCAGCUUCUGCAUCUCAAAAAGACUUGUAGGUAAAACUGUAUAAACAAUAGGUUUCAUCUAUAAAAGGUAACUUAAAUCUUGUGAAGACAAGGGCAGAUAGUGGAACUGCUGCUGUUGCAGAGUGGAGGAGUAUAGUGAAAGAAGUUUUUUUGAGCACCCAGUUGUGAUGUGGUUAUGUGUUUUGCUACUUUCUGAAAGGUUGCUUCUUGUAGUGGUGAAUAAGCUAUCAUCAUUUUAUGUUUUUCUUGAUGAAAGAAAUGUACAAAUAGAACCUUACUGCUCUGCUAAUUUGGAUUAGUGAUUCAAAAACAGCUAUUACAGUUGUAAUUGCAACAAAUUUUGCCAACAGUUAUGCUUUUUACAAAGAUAAUUUUUAAGAAAACCUGUGUUAGUUAUUGAGUAUGACUGAGGAGUUAUUCUAGACUGCCAAAUCUGAAGGGAAAUUGAAGCUGUCAGUCUGCUUUACCAAAUCGUUCCACUUUCAAGUGUCUUUUGAAUAUGAUUUUUACAGUACCUACCAAACAAAGUGAACUCAAGAGCAGCAGUGUUCAAUUGUGGAUUGGCUUUCCUGUGGUGGAUGUUGAUGUUAAAUGGAUUUCAAUUAGCAGAGAUUUGCAUGUUCCUUUUGCUGACUAAGGGCCUGUAGUUGAGUCAAAAGUGAAUCCUGGCGGAACCUUUAUAGCUUGUGGCAUGCAAUACCCUGACUUGCUCCUGUCAGAUUUAUAUAUUUUUGGAUUGUACAAUGCCUCGUUCCAAAGUUCUUAUUUAUGAGUUAGUUUGAGGACAAUGCAGUAAAAAGAAGGGAAUAUGAUACUCUUGUCCUUUAAAGUGCUACAUUGGCUUGAUAUUUCAUGCUUUCUAUAUCAUCCAAGUGACUCUACUCCUGUCUGGAUGAAUUUAUGUUGGAUUAGGUGAUAAUUGUUGAUGAUGGAAGUGCUGAUGGAACAACAAGGGUAGCUUUUGAUUAUGUCAAAAGAUACUUGGUAGAGAACGUUAGAGUAAUUCUUCUGGGAAGGAACCAUGGGAAGGGAGAAGCUAUACGAAAAGUGAGUCCAAUCGAGCUAUCUAUCCAUCCUUAACUAUUUAUGGUGAUGUUACUUCUUUUCUCUCUGUUUGUAAUUUGACCUCUAGUAGCAACUGAUUAAAGCUUUUUGCUUCUGUGAAAGCAUUGUAAAACAGGGAAUGCUGCACUCUCGUGGUGAAAUUCUUCUAAUGCUUGAUGCUGAUGGUGCAACAAAAGUAACUGACCUUGAAAAGCUUGAAAAUCAGGUAGGUAGUUGGGUAUGACUUCAAACAACUUGUGCUCAGUUAAAUUUCUCAUGUAUUUAUAUUAUUGUCUUUUGUUUCCCUAUAGCUGAGUUUUUAUGAUAUAUCUAAUAAUAAGCCAUCAGAUCAUUGCAGUUGCUAGGAAGGGACAUGAAUUUGGACAAUCUAUAGCUAGUGAUUCAACAUUAAGAAUAGCAGAUGUCCUAGUUGCUGCAAUUGGUUCUCGUGCUCAUCUCGAGGAACAGGCUCUGGCCACAGUUGAGUCUUGUUAAUUUUUUUUUAUGCAAUGUUAAUAUUGUUCCAUCAAAUAUGAUUGUACAAUUUCUAGGCAAGUAAAAGCUGUUUUAAUUGUGCUUCAGAGGAAGUGGUACCGCAAUUUUUUGAUGAAGGGUUUCCACGUUGUGGUUAUGUUGGCUGUUGGCUCUGGUAUCCGGGAUACACAGGUUAGAUUAUGGUCCAUAAAUUGAUUUAAGUUUUCUCCAUCUUUGUCUCUUGAUUCCCUUCUCAAAAUUGCAGGAUUAUGCUCUUCAUUUAGUUUUAACUACUUGCUCUUUUGCCAGUGUGGUUUUAAGAUGUUUACUAGGGCUGCUGCCCGGAAGCUUUUCACAAACAUCCGUUUGAAAAGGUACUAUUAGUUUUUUUCCAUCUUUGACUUUAAUCUGCUAACUAGGAACCUGGCUUUCUCCUUCAAUUAUGGUAGUAGUGCACUACCACAAGUUUUUUUAUUUUUUAUUUUUUUGUGCUUUGGAUAACUAGCAUUUCCUCUUAAAAUUUUGAAUAAUGAUUUAUUGUUCCCUCUCAUAUUUGCUUGGUCAAUUUGUGAGAAGAUACAGGAAAUAGAUGAGAGUCAGAAUGAGAGUGAGUUAGAGACAUGCUUUUCAAAUAUUGCUGAACUUAGUAAUCUAGCCUGGAACAAGACUCGAUUGCAAGGCUAUUGAGGCAAAGAGGACUAAAACCUCAUGCUUCUAGUUUCCAUUGCCAUCAUCAUCAUCAUAUAUUGAUAGUCAAUGUUCCCAUCUUAAAUUAGUAACAAUGGACUCUGGGAUUUAAGGACAUGAUUGCUAGGCCAGCCCAUUUCAGUUGCUUAUGGAGUGAUGCUGCAUCUGUUUUGAUUGAAUUCAGGUUCUGUUUUCUGGAUGAGUGCACAAUUGUCCUGAAACAUGCCCUACGCUUAGAUGUCUCAUAAUGUAAAAGGUGAUAUGGUUCUUGUUUGCCUAAUAUAGUAAUCUUUCAAGGAUAGGUAUUCUGAAGAAAUAGGAAAUUGGAAGGUGUUUAUGUCUUGGUUGACGAGAUUAUGAAUUUGUCUAAAUGUAAGAUGCUAAGGACAAAAGAAUUGCCUUUAAGAUCUGAAAUGAAAUUGCUUCAAUGGAGGUUAAGAUUAAACUCAUAUAGAUGCAUUUUGUUUGUAUAUCUGUACUUCUUGUUUUACCAUUAUACUGUUAUAACUUUGAUUUUUUUUCCUCUUGCCUUCUCUUUUGCAAGUCUGACUUUUCCCAUGCGGUAGCUAAAUUACAAUUUCUAUUACAGGUGGUGUUUUGAUGUGGAAUUGGUCUACUUGUGCAAUACAUUUCAUAUCCCAAUGGUCGAGAUAUCUGUAAAUUGGUCCGAAAUUCCGGGAUCAAAGAUUAACAUGACAAGUAUUCCCAACAUGUUAUGGGAGAUGGGACUGAUGUCUUUGGGGUAUAGAUCUGGUAUUUGGAAGAUCUAUGGCUGAGUUUGCAGCCUGGGAUAGAUGCAUCAGGGAGUUGUAGUAUGAGUAUCUCAUAUCUUAAACUCAGAAGAGAAAGGCUUACUCGGACAUACGUAAGUAGGUAGCUGGAGGUCUUGCUUUUCUUACGUCAUAGGUUUUUGCAAAGUGAUCUGAUCAAAUUUGAUAUAAAACUAACUGAUUAGCACUCAGAUUUGUCUUUUUCUUUUCUUUUCUUUUCUUUUUAAAUUGAUUUUACUCUGGGAUAACUCGCGAGGGAUAACAACGGAGUUUUGUAUGGACUGGGGCAAUGUUGGGGCCAAGCAAGAGUGCUCCCCUGUUGUUUCUGAAAAUCCAUUGUAUGCCAUACUAGUAGCGCUAUUUGCUUGAAGUCCAUUAUACGUCAUACUUGUGACAUGUGCUCUCGUUCUUUUAAAAGAAAUAUUGCCCUUGAUUCCAUUGGACAUGACAUUUUUGGCUAGGCCGCAAGCGAUUGUAGAUGCAAUUUUCACCAAAAACAGAAAAAGGGAAAAAGGCUGGUAGAGUAAGCUUAAAGAGCGAUUGGCAACUAUAUCAAUGGUUCUUACUUCGCAAGACCGCCCAUGGAACGAUUGAAGGAGGGGAAAGAAUUUGAGGUGAAUAAGGUACUAGUGAUGCUAGCCGGCAGCCGCUACGUUUCCUUCGUAAGCCUAUUGUCCUGGAAGGUUAAAAGAUAGUGGCAAGCGAAACUGGAGUACGUGGCAUAUGUUGCUUUCUUCAAAAUGCGGAAAAUUUAGGUAAACGAAUCCGGAUGGUUCGAUUUUUCACGGUUAUGUUCUACGUGCAAAUUAGACUAUUCACGCGCGAAAACAGGGAUGACGAUUUGGGAGGGUAACUUUAUUGACUUGGAGCAUCCAUAGUAAUAACCUCUACAUCCUGAUUAGAAAAAAAAGGUCAAAAAAAAGAGUUGCAUUUACCAUAAAGCGUUAGCCGGGAAGCAGACAUUAACGUAAAGACAAGCCAAGCCAUCGAAACUGACAUAUUCACUUCCAGGUUGAUAUGGCCGUAUUUUUUCUGACAGUUAUCGACAAAAGUUUAGCAUUUUAAAUUCUUUUCUAUUGGCAUAAAUUUACUUGUAAAGCAACUUUAUGUACCUCCGAUUACAUGUGCAAAUCCACUUUAUAGAUUAGUUGAUGUUAGUUAAUCGUUUUUGUAAUGGAGUAGUUGCAUUUCAUUCCAUGUUACGUAAAAGACUUGAAUGAGAUCAAUCUUUAAAGGCUCAUUUCCAUUACAUAAAUGAUUCGUUAAUCUUGAAAAGACCGACAUGGAUGGUCAUUUCUUGCAUGAAUUCAAAAGGCAAGCGUCGUUCUUCUUCAAGGACAAAAUCAAGGUUGCCCGAUUGGCUCUUCUUGAUGUUACACCAGCUCAACUGUAUGGUUUUAUUUGUAUGCAUCUGUAGAUAAUAUAUCUUUUUUUUUUUCUGCCGUUUUAGUCUGUUCGAUUAAUUUGGCUUGUCAAUUUCUUUUUUUUUUGGGCUGAAAGAUCGACAGAAGAAGCCACAAAUGGAGAUUCCUCAGCACCGGACGCACGUACGAUGAGACUUAUAUCACGUGCUGCCUUUGAAGUUGAUGAUUAUUGGAGAAUCGUUGAUGUUCUGCAUAGAAGGUUUCUCCGUUGGUUGGCUAAAUGAUUUUGUCUGGCUUUGCAUAAGCUUCACAAGUAAUCAUGCAGAAGUUCUUUAUAUAAACGAGUUCUACGCGUCUUUGAUUUGAUGCAGGUUGCAGAACUAUGAUAGACACAAUUGGCGAGCGGCCUACCAGGCGAUGAUAUUGCUGGAACACCUCCUCACGCAUGGACCAGCAAGAGUUGCAGAGGAGUUUCAAGGUGAUCGAGAUAUCAUCAGAGAGAUGGCAAAUUUGUCUUACAUAGAUGAGAAGGGGUUCGUUUAAUUAAUCCCGUGGCUUGUUGUAUAAAGCAAAUAAGAUAUGAUUAUUGGAGCUAUAAAAUCAUCUCCUAUGCAGGUUCGAUUGGGGAUUAAGUGUGCAGAAAAAGGCUGAAAGAGUGCUGAAGCUGAUCAAGGACGGGUCAUUUCUCAAGGAAGAAAGAGCAAGAGAGCAAAAAUUAACAGUGGGGAUUAAAGGGUUUGGGAGUUUCUGUGAACGAUCAAUCUUAACAGAUGAGAGUUCGAAAUGUGCAUAUUCCGAUAAAUAUUUGAGAUGUCAUUCUCACUUUUGUGAACGUCAAAGCACUGAAGACGCUCUGUUGGCUGCAGACGACGAAAGGAUUCCAAAUGCGCAGGAGAUUCGUAAUAGGCACAGAAAUUUAACAACCGAAAACCCAGCACAAAAUUCCGACGCCAACAGAACCUUUGAAGAGAAUGAUCAUCCCUUCUACGGCAAAGAAGAUCAAGCUCUAGUCUCCCUGCUUUCCUCAGGGUGAAACCUUUGCACGGUACUUCUUAAAAGGAAGUUCCUGUAAACACUAUGAUUUUGUAGUUGACAUGUCAUCUCCUUUAGUAUUCUAUAGCAGAAUCAGAGUUGUACGAUAAGAUAUUGUCUUAUGCUUUAAAAAAGUGAAAAUCAGGUUUUAUCUAGAGUUAAAUCAGUUCAAUGUUCACGGUAGGGAAAAGUUUCGAGUGAAAUCCCAAUCCGAACAAACAAACAAAAACCAAGAGGCAGGGCUUCACCAGAUGCACAGAGAGAGAGAGAGAGAGAGAGAGAGAGAGAGAGAGAGAGAGAGAGAGAUCAGAUAGAAACAGUUGAAACUUCUACAUUGAACACAAUAAAACAGUCGGAACAUCCAGCAAUCAACUCCUCGCCAUCUCAAGGCUAUCAACUCAGAACGAGAAUCACAAGUUAAGAGAACAAAGCUAAAAUAUAAUCUUGCAAGCUGCAUAUCUGACCCGCAACUAAAAUAUCAUUCAACACUUUCCCGCAAAAUUAGAAGCAUUUUCUAUGCACGAUUGAGGGACCAGAUUCAUCAUAUUCUGACUUUGCAAUCCACAUCUGCAAACAAAGCAAGCAAUAUAUUAACCAAAGAAUUCCUAAUUAAAGCAAACAAUCAUCUUGUUUUGUAUGUAAGGUAACAAACCUGUUGGAAGGUGCUGAGUGAUGCCAAGAUGGAUCCUCCAAUCCAGACACUGUACUUUCUCUCAGGUGGUGCCACCACCUUGAUCUUCAUGCUGCUGGGAGCUAAUGCUGUAAUUUCUUUGCUCAUCCUAUCAGCAAUGCCAGCAAACAUUGUAGAACCACCACUGAGUACAAUGUUUCCGUAAAGGUCCUUCCUUAUAUCAACAUCACACUUCAUGAUGGAGUUGUAAGUGGUUUCGUGGAUUCCUGCAGCUUCCAUUCCAAUCAUUGAAGGCUGGAAGAGGACCUCAGGGCAUCGGAAGCGCUCAUUACCAAUGGUAAUCACCUGCCCAUCAGGCAAUUCAUAGCUCUUCUCUACAGAAGAACUAGUUUUUGAAGUCUCUAUCUCCUGCUCAUAAUCAAGUGCAAUGUAUGCCAGUUUUUCUUUCACAUCUCUCACAAUUUCCCGCUCUGCUGUGGUGGUGAAAGAGUAACCACGCUCAGUGAGGAUCUUCAUUAGGUGAUCAGUGAGAUCACGACCAGCCAAGUCAAGACGGAGGAUGGCAUGUGGCAAGGCAUAACCCUCAUAGAUGGGAACGGUAUGGCUGACGCCAUCACCAGAGUCCAACACUAUACCUGCAACAAGAUCAUGACAGCAAAGCAUUGGUUAAACAUAGAAAGAAACCACAUUUGAUAUUCAUGACCUUUUCUGAGAAUUUCCUAUUGACUCUAAAGCAUCCAAAAGCUGGUCCCAAAUAGAUUUAUGAGAAUUCACAUGAUUACACUGCAAAAAAUCUCUACCAAAAACAUUCAAAAUUAUGGCAUUUUCUGAGAGAGACUUUUCACAGCAUAUCUGGAAGGACAUUAAGGAGGUAUUCCACAAGCAGCACUUUCUUUUGCUAUCCAGAUAACAUAUUUGGCCUGGACUUUUUAUGCUGUAUAUACUUUAGCGAUCUAUAGCAGCUAAUUAGUGUAUCCUAUAACAUAUGCAGUCAUGAAAAUUUUCAGAUUUAUUUCCAGAUUCCUUUUUUUUUCUUUUCACAUUCUUCACUCCUUUUUUUUUUUUGGGGGGGGGGGGGAGUGGUGGUGGAGGGGUUGAGGCCUUGAGGGAGUGGUGGUGGAGGGGUUGAGGCCUUGAGGGAUUGGUUGAAGACAUUUAGAAACCAAAAGGUGUAAAUCAAAUGCUGAAAAAAAAUGCUUACCUGUUGUCCGACCACUAGCAUAUAGGGACAGAACAGCUUGGAUGGCAACAUACAUAGCAGGAGUGUUGAAUGUCUCGAACAUUAUUUGAGUCAUUUUUUCACGGUUAGCCUUAGGAUUUAGUGGUGCUUCAGUUAAGAGGACAGGGUGCUCUUCAGGUGCCACACGAAGCUCAUUGUAGAAAGUGUGAUGCCAUAUCUUCUCCAUGUCAUCCCAAUUGCUAACAAUACCAUGCUCAAUUGGGUACUUAAGAGUCAAAAUACCUCUCUUUGAUUGAGCUUCAUCACCCACGUAGGCAUCUUUCUGACCCAUCCCAACCAUCACACCAGUGUGACGGGGGCGACCAACAAUACUUGGGAAUACAGCGCGUGGAGCAUCAUCUCCAGCAAAUCCAGCCUUGAAAAAUCAAAAGAGACAGUAAAAAAAUCAUAAAAAAAAAUUGACACUGAAGAUGAGGGAUAGAGCACAAAAGAAGCUCAAAUCACCAAGGAACAAGAUCGUAAAAAGUUGGAACUCUAGUUCUGCAAUAAGAAAUACCAAAACAAAUCCUGUAGUACCUUAACCAUUCCUGUCCCAUUGUCGCACACAAGUGGCUGGAUAUCCUCUCCUUCGGCCAUCUUAUGCUACCUCCUGUACAAAAUCACAGCUUUCUUAAGACAGUACACUACUACCAGAUAUUCUUUUGUUUCCGUAUUUAUCUUUUCCCAUUCUAUAAAUAAAUACAAAACUAUUUGAAAGAAGCAGUUUAGUAGAAUAACGAAAUGGUUUUAUUCGACCCUCCCUCCUUUCCGUUUUGGUUCCAGUACGGUAUGGGCUAGGAACUCAGGAACCUCAUAAGGAGGACUGGAAAUAACAGAAUAUAGAAUAUUAUGCACUGGAUACAAUGAACUUUAUCUUUUUUGCUACUUUUUUGGGAGGAAGUAGAUGAUCCAACGUGUCACGCACAGAAAAAAUGAAUAAAAAUUCCUGAAUUAUGACAUAAAAAUAAAAUGUGGAAACAAAUAUUAGAGAGUGAAAAACAUAAAACAGCUCAAGUUUCAAAAAAAAAAAGAAAUUUUUUUAAGAAAAUAGCGAUCACAUCUCAUCAAAUACAUGCAACAUACAAAUAUACAUAAAAAGAGAGGAAAAAGAGAAGAAAGAAAAGGAGUGAGCUUCAAAAGAACUGAGAAGCACAUCCAUGUACAAUUCUGCACAUAAUCAUCAUGUAAACACGAUAUGCAUUCGAAUCAAUUUUACUUUCGACAUUAAAGAAAAUGGCAAUGAAUCGAAUGGCACAAGUUAGAUCGGAUCAAAAAGCAUAAACAACACAACCGAAGGCUCACAAUUAUCAAAAAAUUGCUCAUUAAUCACCCAGUCUUUCUCGAAAAGACUCAAUAAAAAUGCUAUUAAUGCACAGAACCCACAUAUCCUAGAACAAAAAUGCAAGCAAAAGAUCCAUUAAAACCACAAAUAGACUAGCAUUUUAGCGACAUGCAUUUCGCAUUUCACCCAAAAACUCGACGUUCCACAAAUAUAUGCCAAUCAAUACUAGCAUAAAAAAUCUCUUAAACACCACAUCACGGCGAGAAAAGGAAAAAAGAAAACAUAAAAAUUAAUUCAGAAACUCGCUUAUGCAUAAGAAACGUGAUCUCAGCAGGAUCAAUCAGAGAUCAAGAGCUACACUGUACAAAAAAAGCCAGAUGCAAAAUGAAUUAAACAACAAAUGCACCGAUUCAAAAGUCUAAAGAUAUAAAAUGAGGAGCAAUUGUGCAAAAUGAAAGGAAAUAGUAUACCUUUUCGAGUGCGUAAAAGAGAUGAUUGAGGGCAAACGAAAAGGAGAUAAUAAUAGAACAGAAAAUGGUGGGUGGAGGAAAUGGCCUCCUCCUCCUCCUCCUCCUUAGCACUGUGGAUUGGGGUAAAAAAACGUACAGCUAAAUGAGUUGCGCUCCCGUGUUCUCACUUGGGAACCGAGAAAUUUGAGGGAUUAUAAUGAGGAAGGGCGACGAAUCUGGACCGUUGGAUGGCCUCCAACAGUCUGGAUGUGCGGACAGGGAUGACACGUAGCGAUCGUGGGGGCUAUAAUUUCUUCCUCCUCUUCGUGGUGUCCACUGCCGCCUCCUUUUCCGCUUUUUCUUUCAUUUUUUCUCUCUUUUUCCGGUUCCCCUCAGACCCCUACCUCUCCCCCUCCCGCUCUGUACAUAUUAGUACCAAUAGAUCAAUUUUUUUUUUCCUACAUAUUAGUUUUUGCUACUAAUAUCUCUUUCUAUUCUAAUUGUAUAUCCUAAUUUUAAUUCGGAGCUUGGAGAUUAUCUCCCAAAAACAUUUUUUUAUUUUGAUUUGGACGUUGGUUUUAAGUUGACGGUGGGGAAAUGAUUGGGAUUUAAAAUGGACUAGAGACAGAUGUUAGUUGAACGCGGACAUGAUAAUGUACUACAAAAUUUCUCAAUUUCAAAGAGGGAAAUGAGGGAGGUCAGGUGAAUUUUGAGAGGCAAUUGUUACGGUUUUGUUUGUGGAUAUUAGUCAAUUUCUCCCGCAACUAUUUUGCGGCUAUUCACUUGCUGCGUCUAUGGACCUCACAUGUCCUAUUUUGGAAGUGGACUCCUAUCUAAUGGGAGGCUCUCUCGACCCAUCAAAAUUUGUUGCAACCCCAAAACCAAAGCAUAAAUAAUACUACUAGUAACAAGCACCUCAGAAACUAAUCUGCCAAUUCUUUUUCAUCUUUAGUGGAGUAGCUUUUUCUGUGAAAUAAGCAACUCUUUUUUUUUUUUUUGGACAAAUGCUGCAUUACAAUUUACACUUACAUUACUCGUACCAUUCUUCACAUGGGGUGGUCUUGUAAGAACUUCCCCCCAUAUUACCAUUGGCAAUCUUUUAACUUUUUUUUUUUUUUGUGUCUAGGUUUCUCAGUUUACAUAACGGGGAUAACAAAUGGUCUUUUGACAAUUUGUGAAUAGUAGCAUGUUUCUAUAUGUCAUACAUGCUCCUCCUAUAGAAUUAUAUAGUAUAACUGCUUCUUUUGACCAUGCUCAAUGUGGAGAAUAGAUGUAAUUAGACCUAUUGAUUCUCCGACCUCAAAUGGACAGGUUGAUGAGAUAAAACCUAUACCAACGAAUAAAAUAUUGGCGGAUAAAACUCAAACCCAACACUAAGUAUAUAUUUCAUCUCAAAGUGGUGGAACGAACGAGAAAGAAAGAUCAAAUUGUGGAGACAAAUAGUCUUUGCGCGCUGGCAUCAGGGAAUGAGCUUUCCAAAGUAUAUAACAACCUAAAAGAUAAGAUGACACGUGUGAUGCCUUGAAAAAUUUAUGCCCCUUUCUGUCACGUAUAUAUAGUUGUCAUUAAUAUGGAGAUGCUAAAUCCUCUACUUUGGUAGCAAAUGUGCAUCCUGUAAUAACAACCUGAGGCGGAUCAGAGAUGAGCUUUUUCCUCAUUCCAUCCCAACACAGUUGUCAUCCUCGAAACUUUUUUUUUUUUUUCUAUUUAAUUAAGAUAUGCGUAAUUUGGCCCCGCGCCCCAUUCCUCCAACUUGAUGCCACUCCAUUCUCUUAUCAGUCGAGUCGAGCGUCAUGUCUGGACGCCAAAAGGUUGCUCAAUUUACAUGACAACAGAGUGUUUUGCGAGAAACUCUGCAGGCAAGAGAUCCAAGAACUCUCUGAGAUGGGGAUGGCACUAAGACAGAACCAAAGACAGUUUAUGACCUGCAGUGGUUCAUCUGUCUCAACUCUCUUAAGUGCUGCAGCUUUUAUACAGAAAUGAGAAAUCAAAUUUCCUGGUCGAGAUUCAAACGAUGAACCCAUAGGUCCCGUUUGGCCUCCAAAGUGGCUUCCUUGAACAUUUUUCACAUAUUUGUAAAGUGCACGUCCAUGUGAUUGCCAAAUCAGGGAUCAAGAAUCUGCCUAGAGCCAAGAUUUUCAUGCAAGGAACUAGCGCAACUUUUACACCUGUACAAUGUCCCAUGGCUUAAUCAUAUCUGCUGUUGUUGGAUCAUGGAUGGUGAACUUGCCUUUUGAUCUUUGGACACUUGACAAUAGCAACAAUCAACAAUUGGAGCCGCACAAGUAUCCAGUACACACGCAUACGGUAUAUUGCUACGGAACCAGCAUAUCAGGGGGUUUAAGACGAUAAGCAGGAGAAAUAUGAAAUACGAUCAAAAUUCUAGAAAAGAUAAAUAUGAAAGUACAUGUAAUGAUUGAAAAGUGGUGGUACUGACAUUGACAGCACAAGUAGCACUGACCAUUCAGAGGUUAACUGCAACCAAAGAUGGUUCUAAGGAAAGAAAUGAAAGGAACAGUACCACAUUUCAAUUGAAGCUUGACACAAAAAUGAGCAAAGGUGAAAAUAUGAUCCAUCUUUUGGAUCAAUUUAAUCUGAACUGACUGCGCACAACCAUUAGCACAUCCGACCAAACUCAUAAUCUCAUUGCUUGAGCAUCACUUCUGGCCUGCCAAUCACUUACAGGAAUGGGGGCAAUAUCACCCAUCUUCGAGGAUACUUGGGUCUCCCGUCCUUUCCAUCAAAUAGCUGCAAAGUAAAGUGAAAAUGAACAUCAAAACAAAGUGAAGAACAGACUAACACGAGUUAUCUCAAUUCAUUACAAUUACACUGGUAGUGAAUGUUCUUCUGUCAAUUAUUAAUUUUUUUUAAAAGGCUCUACAACUAGAUAGAGAGUUUGGAGCGAUAAUGAAAUUGAGGAAUAGCUUCACACUGCAAUGAUGCAUAGAUUUAUUAAAGCAACUACAGUGACUACACAAGCCACCAGAUGAAUAACUUAGCAAAAUGGUCAGAUUCAUAUCAUUGGGGAAGUUCAUACUAGCAGACACUGAAAAGGAGAGAUUCUGCUAUGGCAUCUUGUGCAUGUAUUUCAAAACAAAAUUUACCCACAGUAACGGCAAAAGGUUCACGAACAAGACAAAUAGUUUAGUGAUCUAAGAAGCCGGUGAUAGAAUUGUACAUUUACAUGCAUAGGAUUUUAAUUUUUUUAAUCUUCUAUCAAUUAAAUACACGUCUCAAUAUGAAGAACGUUUAGACGUCUAUCGCCUCUGGAUAUACACAAGUUUGGAUCAAAGUAAGAACGAAAAGAAGGCUACCUUCCUCAAUCGUCUGUGCUUUGCAAGUGCCCAGUUAGUCAUAAUGGCAGCUGCAACAACCAUGAAAACAUAGCCAGCUACAGCUUGCGUUGCAAUGUUGAAUCCCAGCCACUGGUAAAUUUCUGUGGUGUAAUUGGCACAUGUAACGAUAUUGAAGAGGAAGCCACGUGGGAUUUGAUAUCCUCCACUACCAUCAGCAGGACGAAGCUUUCUCAACAAAAUAUGGCAAUAGAAGUUUGCCAAUUGACAAGCCAACCCGAUACCAAAGCCAAUCUUCACUUGGAGAUCAUUAACAGGCGUGUAAAGUGGGUGAUUGACAUAAUAAGCAAUAUAGGAGCCAAAGCUCCAGUAAUAAGCACAAUUACGGAAGACAUUUGAAAGUGGGGAAGUGGCAUGGCUGAAACGGUGCACGAAGAAUGUUUCCAUGAUACGCUUGAAGUAGUGGAAACACCAGUAGUAUAAUGCAUAUGUCUGAACAGGGUGGAUGACACGCUUGCCUUUAUAGCCGAAAAAUUGAUUCACAUUGAAGAAGUAGAAAAGAGGAUAAAGAAUAAGAGGCCCCAAGUAUUCCCAGAAGAAAAGUGUGCUGUAGGCAACCUGUGGACCUAGGUCCUUGAACGCUACAGUCAACUCAUUUGUGCUCUCACCAAUGUACUCUUUGAGACUCUUCUUGUAGUGAAGAAUGGUAGGCUUCUCCUUGGAUCCAGGUGGGAGAGGGAGGGUGAGUCUUUGUCGAGAGGGAUAGUAUCUCUUGGCUGUUAACAAAAACGAGCUUAAUACAACACCUCAUAUGGAUUAAGGAACAAUUACCAGACACAGAGAGACAAAACAAGCUACAGACACGUAGUCCAGGGAAAAAAAAAGAAAAAAGAAAAAAACCAAAGCAAGUUGCAAUUCAAAGAACCAAUGCUGCAAACAGUCAAUGAGUUUCAGAUGAUGCAAUAUGGGGAUGUUCUGGCACUGAAGAGCAUUGUCACCAAAUGAUCAGGAAUCAUGAUAAAAAUUUGAAUCUUGAAGCUCUAAAAGUAAGCCUUAAUAAUCAGAAGUGCAUAAACUUUUUUUUACCCUUUAAUUUGUAUAAGUUGACAGUGGAAUAUCUCUAAAUGCGCUACACAAUUCUACAGAAUGGAAAAGCAAUUGAGAAUCUUGAUGGCACUAGCCUCAAAAUUAAAAAAUGCCCACAUUGUCACAGAAUCUGUGUGCUGCUCAAACAUCCAAUGCAACUAAAGUUCAUGAACGAUCUGAAGAUAAAAUCUUCCAUAUUUAACAAUAUAAACAUCAAAAUUAAACUCAUGAAUAGCGUAGCAACUAUUCACAACAUUAUCUUACAUGCACAACUGUAUGCAUUUACUUUGAUCUUUCACAAUUGUUUAGACUCCUGACAGUGAGGAUUUGAUACUAUGAGAAAGAAAUGAAACAUUUCAUGGUUACUAGUAAAGAACAACGCUUGGAAAACUAAGUUCACUAAGGAAAGCCCUGUACAUUUGACAGGGUUCUGACAGUCUUCACAGGGGAAAGUUUGGCCACUUCACCUCACUGCCGUCGCUCAAUGAGUCCAUAAUGCUCAUGAGAUGAACCCCGAUGGCGGAGAAACUCAAGAUUCAGAUCAAUGUGGCCUAUCAAUAAACCUUAGAUUUUAGCUUCGCGAAAGGGCCAUCUGCCCUCGAUCUUUACAAAAGAGGCAAGAGAAAGUGUAAGAAAUCUCAGAACUUUCGCUCCUUCCCACAGUCAAUUUUAAGAAAGGUUCAAACUGGAUAUUUCUAUCCAUUCAAUUGAAAAAAAAAUAAAAUCGAACAAAAACACGGCUAAUUAACCCAGAAGAACCUGGUAGGAUUGAACAAUAAUAACAUACUGCUUGUAAUAGUAAAAAUAAACCGUGCCAAUGUCGAGAAAUGGGUAUGUUUGGAUUGUGGACUAUUUUCAAAAAUUUAUUUGCUUGCAUGAUCAACCUAUUUUACAAACAUUUUUUUUUAUCUCACGGGCAUCACAUAAAAAAAAAAACUAUAAUAUCUACUAUCCAGGCAUAAAAAAGAGGGAAACUUGCAAGAACAAGCAGACUUGCACAGGCACUCGUAAUAACAAACACGAAUUCAGCUCAGAUUAUAAACCUCGAAAAUAACGAAACCCAAGAAAGCAAAGCAAUGUGAGAAGCAUUUUCUACUGACUUACUUCGCUUAUGGAUUGCCUCCUGAAGAUCAGCAACAGUAGCCUACAAGGACAGAGCCCAAAACCCAUCAUAUUUUCUCUCAAUUCUAGUGUUGCAAAUAACUUUUAGCUAAAUUGAGAAAAUAACAAGAGAAGAAGAGGACGAAUAGAAUAGCAUACGGAAUCAUCGAGGUCAAGGCCACCCUUUACUAGUUCUCUGCCGCUACGUGUAACGACCGUCACCUUCAUCCUUCAAAGAGUAAGCCUCCGAAAGACACAGCGAGAAAGGGUACAAAAGUUCUGAGAGGUGGAACGAAGAUCUGAGGAUCGCUGGUGUUUCGGGACUGGGGGGGUUAUAAAUAUAAUAAUUAAUUAUAAGAGUACUGAAAUGUUUAUGAUGAUGAAAAAUGCUGAUGGGGGUGGGGGCGGAGCACGUGAGUUGGCAAAUGAGUGGGCGUUGCCUUGAGUCUAAUGUCGAUCCAAUGGCAGAAAUUAAUGGCGUGUGGUUGGGAAGUAGAUAAACAGCCCAUUCGCACCGAUGAACCACCUUCCCGCUACCGGUCCUAUUCUGGUAGUACUACGCCACCACACUUCACGAAUAUCUGAAAACAGGAAAAUCCUAAGUCAAUUCGUGGGCUCUUUCCCUGAUUUGACUACCCUGUUACAACUUUUAGAGCAAUGAAUUCUGUUACUUCGGAUUAUUGGACCAGAGAUACAAGAAUUAUUACGCACAACAGCCAACUGGACUACUAUUGUUCCAGUGAGGAUUGCGCAGGGGAACUACUAGGUUCAUUAAUUAAUUCAAUAGAAUUGGAUUUGGCAAUACUCAGCACGGCAAGUGGGAUUAAGGCCCCUAUAUUUUGAAAAAAUGUACUCUCAAGAAAUGACUUGGCGAACCGCUGGAACAAUCCAAUUUGCUGAUUCUUAUCAUUUCUCCAACCCCUAAACUUUUAUGGAGAGAUUUGAAAGGAAGUUUGUGGAAGAAAAAAGCAGUUUUAUAAUCGGCACUAUCUUCUUCUAAAAUGACUUAUCAUUGGCAGUGGCUGUUACGUUCUUGCAUUUCUCCUAAGUUAGAUAUUCUGAGCUUUAUUUUUUGCUUCACACAAAAUUUUGCGCUCGGUGGAAAAGAACAGGGUGGGACUGCCAAUUACUCCGGUUUGCCAUGGGAAUGGCGUAUCAAUUAGCACGUAACAUCAACCAUGUUUUAGGGGCCAUAUUUAAUACAAACAGUUGAUUACACGUGCAAUUUGCUUGCAAGUAUCAAUUAUAUCUAAUUUGACAAUAAAAUACGGCUGGAUUUACUUCAAAUUUUCCUUUGCAUAACUGCUAAUAUUAGUAAACAGUGGUCUCUAAGACAAGCCAAAUACUACUGAUUAUUGCAAGGAUUUGGGGAUUGAGAAUGAGCUCAAAGACGGUUGCAGUUCUCCAUCUCUAACUUGAUGUGGAUUAUUAGCAUGCCCUAGACACGUCACGAAGAGAUCAAACUUGAACCGAAAUUCAAAUACUAGAAGACAAGUCCCCACCUAAAAAAGGAAAAAUGGGGAUCCAAAUCACAGUGGAACUCAUGAAAUUGUAUAUACUUAAAAAAAGUUUCAAAUGUAUAAAGUUAUGAAGCACCACUGCUGGUAGCGACUGACUCCUGAAUUACAGCUCAACAGACAAGUGAAACUGGAAAUUCAUCAGUGUUUUUCCACGGGUUCUCGUUGAGCCCCAUCAACGCUUUUCUCAAUUGGAGGCAAAGUCUGCAAGCUCACCAGCAAACUACAUUACAAUUUUAGGCUAACUUCACAAAAGAGGUCCCAGUUAAAAAUACUAGUAAAACUCAAGAGGAAAGUUUUGCACGGUUCGUAUGGGCAUUUUAUCGAACAGUUGUACGAGCUGUGUGAGUAUUU